UCAAGGUGACAGUAUAGACGAUGAGCGACCUUCUUGUGCAAGUUCAUGGCAGCACAAAGGAGGGGAAAAAUCACAUCUGAAGGACAGUAGCGAGGGACGUGAGCUAUCAGAGAUCCCAUCCUAAUGAGGGGGCCUUAUGCUGUCUUCUCUUUCCUUCCGGCCAGAAUCAUCGAAAUCUGAAGGCCUCUGCUGAAUGCUUGGCUGAAGAGGAGCCGGGUUUGGAACUCCGAAACGAAGGGGAACCACGACAGAACCGCGAUCGGCAUGAACAGCAACAACCCCAUUGUGUAUUCGUACGCCCUCGCCAGCUCCUUCAACGAAUCCCAGAGUCCGAACCAUUUAAGCAACGGCCUGCAUGCUUGCCCAAUCUGUCGAGAGCAAGAGAAGAUCUAUCUCAUUAGUUUUGCGGUCCUAUAGAAAGCGCGUGGGGUGCUUCGUGCACAAUGAGUUAGUUUUGAGUCGGGCAAGUCGAGAACAACCCACUUGAUACAUAAAGCUUCUUUUAAGAUUGCACUAGUCCAGACUUACCAGAAUGAGAGCCCAGCAGGUAGGUAAAAACGCAAGGACAGCAGCAAAUAUAUCAGAUACAACGAUUCUAUGCACGACUAAUAAGAUUGUUAUAACUGACACGAAUCCAAGGAAAAGAAGUGCUUUCAGGAUCCCAAACAUGAGUGGGAAAUCUGCACUGAAUCUCCGUCUUCCCAGGGAUACCAUCUGAAAACAUUAAGGCAAUAAUAAUUUGCAAAGAAGGAACGCAGUUGUUGCGAUUUGAUUUAAAUAAGGUAACAGAAAAGCAGCAGAAAAUAAUAAGGACCAACUGGAGUUUACUCAUGGUAAUGCGUGUGGCUAAGAUGCAGAUCUAGGAACAAAACCUCCAUAUAUCGUAUCUGCAUACCUUUAAAACUAGCAGAGUGGUUAGCAACACGGCCCAAGAAAGUCCAUAAAUCUACAGAAGUAAAGAAGAGCCUAAGAGAAAGAUCCUGUGAGAACAAAUCAGCAACAGAAGGAGGAAAGAGAAAAUUGCAGUGAAAUUUAUAGAUUACCAGUAUUUUCUUGCUGUGGCGAACUAUAUGAAGAUGGUACACAAUUCCAUACUGGUAUAUAAAGAAGCGAAAUGCAAGUAUUAUCUCAAGGAUUGUUCCCCUCAUGUUUGUGUGCUUCAGGUGUUCCUGUUCUUCCUCCCACCACGAUUCCCAACUUUUAUCAGAUUGUAUCCCAAUUCCACCACGAUUACCCAUCCACCACUUCCAGUCUGCCCAAUCAUCUGCAGUCUUUUGCCAGUCAAAACCAGAUGGAUUGAAUAUGAACGGUGCAAACAACCAUGAGCCAACCAAGAACCACGUGGAGAAAGUGAUGAACAAGUAGAGAUUUGAACUGCGGUACGACUCCCCAUAAAUUUCACAGACAAUCAACAGAAUAAACAGCUCCAGCCCUUUCACAAAGUGACUUCGCGAAAAAAGCCUGUAAUUAUCACUGAAUUUUGCAUGAAAAACAACAAACCCACGACGCGUUGCUCGAUAUCUGGAUCCUCCGUGUAAGAUCGUUCUUCCGUAAAAAUGAGCGUUUGUUCCAAGUUGAAAUGUGAAAAACAGAGAAGCUAGCUGCAGCUGCAUAAUGACAAAAUCACCGAGGGCAGUCCCAAACCCUUUUUCCAGGCAAGUUUCCAUGAGGAUGGGCAGCAUCAGUACCAAUCCUAACUGAAAGACAGACUGGCUAGCCAAGGCCUCUUCGAGGGCCUUUGUGUAACGUAUGCGAGGAUUCUGAACGAUCUCGCUUUCCAACCCACUCAUAACCAUGUACAACCGUCCAUACAAGAAAACAUACACCGUAAGCACGGUAACCUGAAUGAAACAAGUCCAAAACGGUAAAAAAGAAAGCUACCAAAAGUUCCAUCAUUCUUAUUAUCCGAAAUUAGAAAGAACUACGAGAGCUGCUGCAAAACGAGUAGAGAGGAGUGGUUGCUUUACCAUACUACUGAAGUAGAAACCGAAAGUCGUAAAAUAGAAUGACAGCAUUCUGAAGAAGUCAAAUCGUCGCCCGAGCCGAUAAACGUCUCGACUAAGCGUCUGCUCACCAUUUCCGCAUGCAACCUUUGCCUCAAAAAAGGAUAUAUGGUUCAUCCCUACAUCUCGCCCUUUUCCCACUUGGAUAUACUCAUGAUGUGUUAUAAGUCCCCCAUGGAGAGUUGAAUUAAACCCUGCAGCGAGAAAUGGUCAGAAUUUGUCCCCGUGAAAUAUCAUAUAAAUAUGGUAGGGUUACCAGAAAAAUUUUCGCUCAAGUUGAUUAUUUUUGAAGCUUUGCUUAUGCCCCCUCGUGUUAUGUGGAAUAUCCUGUCAAAUAUAUCAGGAUGGCCAUAGUGGAAACGGACCCUGCAACAAGAGAAUGAGAAACACAAUUGCCUUUAGAUCACUCUUGGAACAAGCUAAUUUGAACUCUCGGUUAAUUUGAAUCAGAGUCUCAAUGUGAAUGCACAGAUAAGUUAUUGCUUGAAGUGUGAGAGCAACAAGAAAUGGAUUAGUGGUUACCACAAAACGUCAGAUCGGUAGAUCUUAUUCAGUAUAAGACUCAGACUCUAUGCGUGCCUAUUUCUUCUUUACUUCUUUCCUUAGUUUAAGAUAUUAACAAGGAGCCUAUGUUCUUCCUUCCCUCUUUCUUUUGUCUAAGAUACUAACAAGGAGUCGAGAACAUUAGUCCCUUAACUGCACACUUUCCCAGGAUACUUCCAUAGCCAAUAUUCACAUUGAUUAGCCUCCUGAUAUAUCUUAUCAUGCCCAAAAAUACAGGUUCCAACAGCUCCUACACUGAAGUUCUUAAGGGUGCAAAGAAUGUUGUAUGAUAGAAUCAAUCCCACCUAAAUGCUACAAAAGCAUAGACAAAGAGAGAUUAUUGAAUCUACUAGAAAUAAAGAAAGGUGAAGAUUUUUCCUUACCAAAAAAGAAAAAAGAAAAAAAAGAAAAGAAAGGUGAAGAUUUUAAGUGACAUUUUACUAAAACAAAGGUGAAGUAUUAGUUAGAUUAAUAGUCAUACAUACAAUGUUCACUGUCAUAUCCUGAGAAAGCAACUUCCAUAUCAGAGUUAUGCGGGAUACUAUAAGAUACAAGAAAAAGUCCACAUGUCCAUAUGUGUUCACUCUACAAUGUGAGUCUCGCUUUAAAUCAAGAAAACUCUUUGCUUCACAUGCAUAGAUAAUAAACAAUUCCUCGUAUAUUGAAAUGUCUGCCACCACUUAUUUCUGAAUAUGUAUUUAGCUACAUUAUAGUCCUUAAUUGAUAGUUGUAAGUAAUAAUUCAUAAUCGAUGGGGCUAAUUAACAAGAAUCGUCAACUUUACCAAUAUGUAUCAGACUUCUUUGUUGUGCUUGGCACAAGAUAAUCUGCAAGCCCUUCUAGAAAUUUUUUCUUAAGAGCCUAAAAUGAAGAAAAGUAGUAGUUCGUUCAUUUACUUUUCGAGAAUAAUAAUGAGCUUAUCAAAUUGUAAGACGUCAAAUAAAAUUUGAAACAUCGGAAGAACUAAAAAAAAAAAAAAUCAUUUUGCUAGUUGCUAGAGACACUGAUAUCGUACUAUAAUUUUUGCUUAAAGAUGUUGAAUUUAUAAUACAAUCAUGCAAAUCACCAAACCUACCAUACUGUGGUUUUUGAAACUCCAUAUUUGCUAAAAUUAUACUCCCAGACAGAGGCUUGAAACCAUCCAAAAAGAUAAAGAUUUAUAAUCAUAAUGAUUCCCUUCGUUUUCAAUGACCAGGCUUCUGAUUCAAAAGUUCUUUAUGCUAGACUAAUGCAAUGCCCUAGCUGCAAUUGUGGAAGUCAGUGAAAGUUCUUGAGCUUCACGAAGAAACAAAGAAGAAUUCGCUUAUGUGAAUCUUUAUGUUCAGGCUCAAGAAGGAUCAAAUAACAUAGUCCUACACAAAAAUUCAGGUUUUAUGAGAAAACUGCCUUUUGCCCAAAGAAAAAUCUUAAUAAAAGAAAAAUCAAUGUAUCUGGAGACGCGGACUCUGGUGACUACAAAGAUUGAAUUGACGGAAAUGCAUGAAGCCACAAAUUCUUGGCUUACCUUAGGGGAUUUGCCAAGAUUCGCUGGCCGAUAGUGACAAAGCUGGUCUCGUGAUUGGACAUGAACCAAGCCAGUGACGAAACACUGUAAAAAAAGUGUGAAAAUAAUGAUCUAACCAUUCGCAUUCAACGAAUCUGCUCUGAUCUCUUUCAGACCAGAUCCUUUGAACUGGAUAGAGCAGCAAAUAACAGAAGAUUUCUGCACAUAUAUUUAUUCCAAGGUUCACCUUCCGGUAAAAAUGUGCUCCCGCAGGCCCAAAAUAGUAGGUUUUCUCUGCCCGCGAUGCUCCUUUUGGAAUUCCUCCAAUACAUUUCUAAUCUUGAAAGCUUCUUCAAAGUAGUUAUCCUAGAAGUAAGGAAAGCAAAAAAAAAUCUGGGAUAAUUUAUCCUCCUGCAUAUUCCAUGAAAAGACAUGAUAAAGCUACCUGAUUCGUGUCUAUAGUCUGUAGUGCCUCCCCACGAGUAAAGAUGAUAGCAUGAUUUUGAUUUUCUGGUUUUCCUUCACCAAUUUCCAUUGGAGGGCCUGGAAGCCUGAUACGGUAUAUUUCCUACAAAUUAAAUAGAUAAUCCAUUUGUAGAAAAAGGUCCACAGAAAUCCCAUCAAUCAAGAUUGCACCACAUCGCUGUUUCUCAAUAAUGUGGCCACCAUAUUGAAAUUUGUAUCCUCACGUUAGAAGAGAUGAGUAAAUGUUAUAAUUCAUGUACUUCUUAAAGGUCAGUAUCGUUAUUGGACUGAUUGACGUAAUGAAUACUGAUAUAAUCCCCAUUAAUACAUCCAAGAUGGUUGCUUCUUUAAGAUAAACCAAUAGCUCCCAAUAGGAACUCCUCUCAAAUAAUUGACAGACGGAAUUCCACAUAUGUUUGACAAAGAGCUUAUAUUACACUAAAUUGCAACCAGAAGUCAAUUACUGGGCUUAGCCUUUCCAAAAUUUGCAAACGAGGCUGCUUCAAUUUUGCUCUUGUUGUAGAUAGCCCUAGCUUGAUCCAGCUAUAAUUCUCAAGGUUUCAGUAAUAAACGGACAGAAAGUAGAUGGAAGACAGUAGAGUAGCUUCCCAAAAUCUCCAAAAUUAGAGUCGGUGCAAAAGGUAGACAGGAAUUAGUCCUUCAGCCCCAUGACAGCAUUAUGUGAAGAAAACAGUAAGGUAAAACCAUCACAUUUUGAAAAUAGAAAGAAUUUUCCAUUGAAAGAAGAAUAUAAGAACUUGAUAACAGAUAUUUUGAGGGUAUAAGACUAUUAUGAAUGAAAUUUUCCAAUUGCCAGUUUAAAAAUAAACCGAAUUAGCAUGAGCAGGAUUUUCAGUUGAAGAACAAUAAAUCAACUUUGGAAGUACCAAAAAACUCAGGAAGAAAAAAAAAGGAAAAUGCGAAGUUCUGAUGAAAAUGGAUGUUGAUUGAAGGGUCUGGAAAAAUUUUCAAACGCUCUGGUUUAAAAGUGUUAGAUAAUCCUACCUAAAGAUUUUUUUUUUUUUCUUUUUAAAGAUACUGUCAACAAUGCGUAAAAUUAACCAAGAAGCAGCCCCACACACGAUAUAAGACCUAGGGCAGAACAUGUUAGAAAUUUCCACCCAAAAGCUCAAGCUGUUAGGUUAAGAAAGAGCACAUAUAUAUGAAGCCCAUACAAACCUUAUAAACAAAAGAAGUAGAGUGCUUUGACAGAAAGUGCAGGAACAUGCCAACAGUAUUCGCCAUAUAUUUGCAUAUUAGCUUUAGAUGUGUCUCAAAUUAUUGUUUAAAUUAAUGCCCUACAGCCAAUUGCACAGACUAUGAAAAUUAUACAGCGUUCUGAAUGGAAAACCAAAGAUGUAGAAUCAAACGAUACCAAAGCAAGAAGCAAAAAUUAGAGGAGUCAUCUAGAUUAUACCCAAUAAGCGAAUUGAUCUCUACCCCACUUGAUACCUAAUACUCGACCAUGAGGAAGACUAAAUUCUAACUUACCUCAUCAAGUGUAUCACCUCCCUUCACAAGAACAGAGUAACAACACUUCUGAGAUUCCCCAUUCACCAUCUCCUCUCUUUCGUCUAUGUAAGCAACCCGUAGAGAAGGAUACCUAGAAUAUUUUAGUAUCAUUGAUAUCCAUCAGCCACUUUGGAACUUUCUGUUGAUUACUAUUGAAGUGACAUCCUUAAAACUUACAUCAACAUGAGGUUCAACACGUUACUGUAACAGCUUCUCUCUCUAGCAUCCCUGGACCUCUUUUGAUUCCCAUAAACUUGGCAAGAGACAACAUAGGUGAACUUCAAAUCAGCCAGCGCUUGGGCGAAUUCUGCGAUUGCCUUCUCAUCCUCAUCAUUUAGAGCUGCAACAGAGACAUCGAGUCUUGAUUAGUAUCUGGAUGCCACUUCUUAUAGCAACUUUCAAACAAAAACAAAUCAAAAGCUGUAAAUCUGCAUUUCUUUCUUUCACGUUAAAUGACUAACCAUUAUCUUCAGCUAAUUCAAGACGGCAUUGAUGUUUGAGAGAUUGCCUGUAGUACAUCAUCCCUCUCACUAGCAGCAAAUGCACAUAGUAAGAACAGUCGCAAAGCAAGAAUAAUUAUGACUUACAAGCAUAGUAUAUGCUUCCAGAUAUAUAAAUUCUCAACCUGUCCUAGCCAGAGUGUGGCCUCUGUAAGAGACCCAAAAACGUGUCUCCUGUUCUAUGCUGUCCUUCUCUACUUUUCCAGAUUUUGGAUCUUUUAUCCGUUCAUUAAAAUUGGUCCACUCAUCUAGAUUGCAUGGCACAAGGCAUCAGUCAAAUUGUAUCAAGUGAACAAGUGAAUUAUAACAUACCAAAGGGCAAACUUGCCUGGAUAGAUCUUCUGCAGGUAGAACAGAGUUGUGAUUCCAUCCUCGUUUUCCCUAUUAAGAUCUUCGGUGGAAUAGAGGACGUCUUCUUUGUAAUGUGGAGUCAAGACACUGACCAAGACGUAAAAGCAGAGGAGAGCACAAAAGAAAAUGAUAAAUAGGUAUCUAUUAAACAACCGUCUGGGACACACGCACAUAUAUAUCGCGCGCCCAUGCAUAUAUACAGAAAAAUGGUAAAAUGGAGGUUGGAGGUUGAGGAGCUUCAAUCCCUAUAAUCUUUACAUAAAUUAGAGAAAAUAUCAUAAUGCCACCGAGUCGAACCUAGGAUAUCUCUUUAUUACCAUGAGUAAUUAAUUAAACUGGAUGCGCUUUAAUAAAGUAGCUAAUAAAACUAAAUAGAUCCAUUUAAUUUAUAUUUGAUUUCUCAUUCAGUAGUCAUACAUGAUGGAAAUGCAGCGUCACCAUCAAUUAAAAAUUUGUAUAUGGUCAUAUCUAGUAUUUUUGAGUCACCAAUUAAUCUAUAAAUAUCUGUCAGCACGAACAUGAUUUCACCUCAAAAGAAUUACACAUUUUUAGAAAGAUAUGAAAUUAGAAAUGUCAUAUGAUACUUUUUUAACUAUGCCGAUAACAAGCACAAAAACAGCAUGAAUAGUUAUUGGAUUUCCAACUUUAUUUUUCAAUCUAUAAUGGCAUCAUUGUUAAUAUACCACACAAAAACUCCAUCUAUUGCAUAACCAAAUCAUUCUAUCAUCAUUUAUUAUCAAUGAGACUAAAUUAUAAACUUAAUGCGAUUUCCAGAAACUGAAUUGAACAAACAAGGUUGUCUUUUUUCAUGAAGCAUAGUCUUUGUUCAUGUAAAAACAGACCUAAAGGGCAGCAUUUUGCGCACUGUUGGAGCACCUGGCAUUUUCAUGAAUAAAGAAUUAGCAAAGAAAGUGAUGCGUCGACGAGCUUCCAAGUUCAAAGGCACGUUGAUGGCAGAUUCCUUGACUGUCAGGAGUAAAUGCAGCCGAACGACCUAGAAGUCAAAGAACGAGAUUUCAGUUAGUACUGAAUUAUUUGUGGUUUCUCAAAAAAAAAAAAAAAAAGAGUCAAGCACACCUUCUCUCUGUAGAUUUUGUGUUGUGCAAAGCCAGUGUUGAUCUUCUCAAACAUUUGUUCCUUUCCAUCAUUUUUCUUAUGGAGGAAAUAAUCGUUUGCUUUAUCCAGGAUCCUACAAGCAGCACAGUCAAGGACACAAACAUUUUGCACCAACAGAAACAAGCAUGUUUGUCAGAACUUACUCAUGCCCAUUCUGCAUGACAUCCUCGAUAAUUAUCUCCAUGAUGUCCUGGAGGACAUUGAUUAUCUGGGAUUUGUACACUGUUGCGUCGUCAUGGUCAUUUAGCUACCAAAAUAACAAAAGAAGUUAAGAACUGAGAUAUUCUUGAAGCUGAGCCAAUUGGAGGGAAGAAGAGAAAAUGAUUCAACGGUCAGUCUUCCAAGAAAAAUUUUAUAUUCAUGUAUCUAUUGAGAUUAAAACUGAAGUUAGAUAUAGGGGACAAAAACACCUACCAAGAUGGUCAAGAAUUUCUCCAACUUAGUACUGAGCAAACGCAAUUCACUUGCUUUAAAUUCUUUCAGAAGUCUCUGGUGUUUUAUGCUCAUUUCUACUUCAUAACAGAUUUGUUUUAUGAUCCUGUAAAAAUUGAGAAAAGCAUGGUUUCUCAAGCCUCAACAGAAGAAAAAUUCCCACCAGUAUGAUACGGCAUAUUAAAUAUGGAGUUACAGGCUAAAAUAUAUAUAAGUUUUCUUGCUUACAUUCUGUCAGCUUCAUUUUCCAGGAGCUAAUAUAUGAUGUCCCGGAGAGUCUCAUAACAUUCAAUCACUGCUGAAAGCAUAUAAGGAUCGCUCUUUAUCUUCUUGAACAAGUCAUCAUCCUCCUUGCCCUUAAAUUCUUUUGCCAUGUCUAAUGCUAUGGGAAUCUUUUGUAUGCAAAAAUAAUGACAAGAAGCCUGAAUUAGAGCAAAUAUACGAGUAGAAAUUAACUUGUGAAACUACGCAUACCUUGGUAGCAAGCAAGAAAGCAGGCCAUUGCACAGCAGAGACAUCAAUUGAAGAAGAUGGUAUGAGGAGCAAAUCUCUGUCUCUGGAUCAAUCGGCCGAUGGAAGUGUCAGAAUAUCUGUUUGAGGCAGAAGAUUGAAGCUAAAAUUGAGGAAGUGGAAUUCUUCAUUAUACCUGUCGCUAAUUAGGUCUUCCUCUCUCAUAGUCUGGAUAAAUUUGUUCCACAUUCUUGAAAAGUUCGCAAUAUUUUUCCUCAGUGUGGACUCAUCCUGCGAUGGAAAAGUAGAAACGCAUCAUAAACAUGAUUUUUUAAGAAAUGCUGCCCCUAAAUCUUUGAAGUGGCCAACAAAAAAGGAACUUAUCGAAUAAAGAUUCUAUGAAUAAACACGGAACAUUAGAUCAACCAACAAUUGGAUAUACCUGUUGCUUCCUCCUGCCUUUCUUAGCAUCCAUUGAUGAUGAUGACGAUGGCAAAAGAUGUUCACUAAAAGCUUUGGGCAGAGUGUCAAAUCUGGACCGCAACAUCCCAAGUGUUCGGAUCUUGAGAAAAGCAAGAACGUAUUAUAAGCAAGGAGAAAUAUAUAGUAUCCUUAAGCAUAAACCUAAGAGCUAAAGUGUCUAUGUCAUGAAAAUUUGGAACGCUUGAGGCAUUCUAUUUAUGCAUGAAGAAAGAAUUGUCACUCACCUUGCCUAAAUGGCUAAAAGCACCAUGAAUGCCACCAAAAAGACUAGAGAAUAUGGUAUACCAAAUUUGUGUAUCCAUAAAAUAGACCUGAGAACAUAUCACACAGGGCAUAGUGUCAUCAAAUACGGCAUACCGCAAGUGGGGAACAUGACAAAACUACCCAGUCUGCUUACAAGAACUAUAGGGGCCCAUAUUGCAAUAACAACACCAAUGUUAUGUGUCACUGCAGCAGCAGAUGAAUAUUAGCACAGGCUCUUUCCUCCAGUCAGAAAAUACUAGAAACAUCACAAGCGUAGAGAAAAAAAACUUACAAUGAGGAAAAAACUCAUGCCAUUGAUAAUUAUCCAGAUGCAUCUCCAAGAUUGAUUGUGUUGGUCCAAUGAAUGGCAGAAUCUACGCACAAAAUUCACAUGUUUGAAUAUUUUAAAGAGAAAGUGGAGAGCAGAAUGCUGCAGAGUAGCUACAUCUCCUGAACCACUAAACGUAACAACAUCCACAAUAAAAAACGCUCGGCAAACAACAACCCCACAAUCAACUGACUGGGUAAAAUUUCCCUUUACUCUAGGACAUGCUCAAAACUAUCUUGACAGAGUAUUGAGGUGACAGUUAUUCCACCAAAAAGGCAAGCCUUGAAACAAGACUUGGAACCUCUUUCAGCAAGCAGCUAAUAUGAAUUUCUAGAUGACACAUUAAGGUUUAUAUGGCUUUGGAGCAAGACUUGCUGAUUAGUUAACGCACUUAUGUACUUACAUCUCCCCAUAUGUCGUCCUUCAAGUCAAAAUGUCACAGUAAAUUUGUGAUAACUUAUUAUCAAGGAAAGCAGCAUCAUCCGUGAGGACAAUAUUGCUAGUACUUCCAUCAUGUGGGUAUCUCUCCAAUCUGUAACCUCUUUAAGGUGAUUAUUUGGGUAUUCUACACUAAACUUCUAACAUUAGAAAAUAAACUUUCAACAUUAGAAAGGUUAAAUGAUGUGACAAGAGAAUUGAUUCUAGCUCAAUUGCAUCAAUUUUCUUCAAGCAAGUUUCACUGUUCAUUUUUAGUGAGAUAACAAAGCCAGGAGUUAUAGAUUUAUAUGAUCUUUAAGUAGAAAGGAUGAUAAUUAUAGUACACACAUUUAUUUGUUUUUAGAUAUGGGAAGUUGCUCCAACUUUUAUGUACCAGUAGUAAACACAGGAAAUCCCCAAUUUCAGCAGUAAGAGAAAGCAAACCCCACAAAAUCCAAAAAACGACAACUUAAUAAAAGAUGAUAACACCUCAACAUAGUAGCUGAAAGCCAGCUUGCAAACAAGCAGCAUGAUCCAAAACAUGGUGUACCUAAGACACAAACAAAACAAUGUACGAUCAGCAAAGACACUCAUAUAAAGUAUAAAGCAGCACAUAUCUUUUUACUUAGGGUGAUGGGUCUAUGUCCGAAUACUGCACUUAAGCACAAACUCAAGAACUAGCCACAAAGGUUUGUCCUUGAAAAUAAGAAAAAGAAGACAGUGCUGACAUAGCAAACAUUGUUUUCAAAAUACACCAAUCAAAGCAUAGAUACACAACAUAUUAAUCAGAGCAAUUAUCUUCUUACUUCAGCAGUGAAAAUAUGUCCUCAUGCAUGCCUCUCCCCACAUAAAGCUUUGGCUGCAUAGUAUGAACAUUCAUUUCAGGGGAAGAAAACAAGAAAAUGCAAACAAGUGAGUAAGGCCCUCAGUAGCGAAGUGGUAGUCUAAUCCAUCUACUUGCCUGAGCCCACCACAUAAGAACAGUAAUAGGGAACAUACUUGAAAGCUCCAUGGUCCUCCUUAAGUAAGGAACGAAGAAAAGUAUAGCAGCUAAGACAUUUGGAAUCAUAUAAAUUGCAAUGGCAUUAUAAAAGAGCGACUGGUUCCUCCAAUCUUGACCCCAGGUGCUGAAAAAUUUCAGGACUCCUGUUGGAUACUGCACUAGACUAGAGUAACUAAUUGGCAGAACCACAGCCCAAACAGCUGCCAUUACAAAUUUCAGAAUGUAUCGGAGAAUCUGCGCAUAUCUCAUACUUUUCCAGGCAUUUAGACUUGGAAUUAUAUCCAGACUUGCUGCAGAAGAGGAAAGGAAGAAGGCGGUGUCAGUAAUGAGUUUACGCUACGUGGCUCUUAUAAAAUUUGCCAAUACAUAUGCAAGUAGUCAAAAUGGGUCGAGGAUGACAUAUUACACGGUAACUAUAGAGAUAUAUUAUAACAAGGUCUUUCCUAAGGAUUGCCUCUAAAAUUGACAUAUAAAACUUGAGAUAGCUAGAAACGCCUUCUCCUUAUCACAAUGAUGGGAUUUGCUGCAUUCUGUAUAAAGAAGGCUGCAAGGCUAAGCAAAUAUUCUCCUUCCUAAAGCUGAACCGGUUUUGAAAAGUUUUAAUGAUAUGUAGAUUGCAAUAUAAUGAAUUUUCAAAUGGACUUGCCCACAUAGUAAAAUCUUUCAUAAAGAAGUGGACCAUUAUCUUAUUUUUUCGUAAUACUCUGAUAAUACCUUCUUGAAUUCUGCUCGAUGACAUUGAUGGCUUGAUGGAAUGGAGAUUCCCUCAUAUGUGACACAAUUAUGUGAGUAUUCUCGCCGUCGUUUUCUAUUUCUUAGACUAUCUAUUACAAACUUUUGGUUACAGACUCAUCAAUCCCUCUUAUAUAUCGGGCUUAUUAUGUUUCUCCCUUGAUUAUUUUAAUUCUUCUGUUUCUCAUGCAGUUUUGUCGGAGAUGAUAGAGAUUGGAGAGGCAUCAAACAGGAAAUCACUCUACAAAUGGUCAAAGGUACUCCUCGAUUCUCUUCUAUAUACUUUAUAUUAUGCAAAAAUAAAUUUGAUAUGAAUCGGCUCCUAAAACUUUAUGUCAAUGAAAAUUUACAUUCUAAAUCAUAAAGAACAUGAUUCGAGGUAACAUAUUGAUGCCCACUGGGGAUGCCGAGGCAUGUCUAUAGUAUGCGCCGACAUUAAUCAUGACAAUAUAUUGUCCUCUUUUGGGUAUAUGAAGCAUGACAUUUUCCCUUUUCUCAAUUUGAGAAAUAUGAAUUUGAAUAUGAUAAUUUUUUUUUUUGGCACAGGAAAUGUUGGUAUUUUUUCACUUACUAUCACAAAAGAUAGGAUAUUAAAAUCACGUUGUCUAAUUAAAAUGCCAGUCACAUUUGACUAGUGAUUUCUAAUUUAAGUGUUUUUAAUUUUUGUAUAGUGAACCUAUGCUCUACUCCAAAAGAAUGGGAAAAUUGUCCAAAAAGUCCUAAACCUAUUACACUUCUGCCAAUUCAGUCAUAAACUUUUUAAUUUUGCUAAUUCAGUCCUAAACAUUUUCACUUCUUGCCGAUUCAGUCCAUUCGGCCAAUUUUGGCCGGAAAAUGUUGAUGUGGAUGCCAGCGGUGCAAUGUAGGAUUGCCGGCACUAACAUGGACAAUUUUAAAUAAUAUUUUAAUACUUUUAAUUUUUUUUUGAAUUUUCCCCCCCUUUUUUUUUCUUUCUUUUCUUUUUGGCUUUUUUCCUUCCUUUUCCGGUGGCUGGCCAUCAGCCACAGGUGACGACCAUAGCCAGUUGGCAAGGCCCGGCCGAGCGAGGAGGAGCCCCAACGAGGGGAGCCCUCACCUAGGUGCGGCUCGGCGAGGGUCGCUUGUGAGGGUUGGCCUUGCCAGGUUAGGCUGCCUUGGCCUGGGCGAGGGCCGGCCUCGCCAGAUCUGGCGAGGGGAGCCCUUGCCUGGGCUCGCCCAGGCGAGCAUCAACCCUUGCCCAGACUAGAUCUUGCGAGGCCAGCCCUCGCUCGGUCGACGGCGAGCUCCCCUCGCUAGAGUUUAACGUCGACUCUCGCUCUGAACAGUGAUGGCGNNNNNNNNNNNNNNNNNNNNNNNNNNNNNNNNNNNNNNNNNNNNNNNNNNNNNNNNNNNNNNNNNNNNNNNNNNNNNNNNNNNNNNNNNNNNNNNNNNNNAUAAUUAUGGUUAUCUCUACAGCUCGUGAUUGGUAGUUGUAUAUGGGAAAGCGAAUAUCUCUUCUUUUCGUGGAGAUUGAAGUUGAGGCUCGUACUUCUGAGAUGGAGCUAUGAAUGCCUUUGCUUGGUUCGAUCCCGAGAUUUUCGACGGAGUGAUUCCUUGGAUGGGAUAGCCGUUGCUAGCAUAUGUUUCUUGACCGGACCAGCUCAUCGGAGUCCUGCCCUCGUUCGGUCGAAGGCGAGCUCCCCUCGCUAGAUCUGGCGAGGCCGGCCCUCGCCUAGGUGACCCUCGCUAGGCUGCGCCUAGGUGAGGGCUCCCCUCACCGAGGCUCCUCCUUGCCCGACUAAGCCUUGUCGGUUGGCUGUGGCUAGUGGCCAACCGUCGCCUGUGGCCAAUGGUCGGCCACUGGAAAAGGAAGGAAAAAAGCCAAAAAGAAAGAAAAAAAAGGAAAAAAAAGAAGAAAAAAUAGUAAAAAUUCAAAAAAAUAUUAAAAUAUUAUUAAAAAUUAUCUAUGUCAGCACCGGUGUUCCUACGUGGCACCGCGAUAUCCACGUCAGCAUUUUCCAGCCAAAAUUGGCCGGAUGAAUUGAAUUGGCAAGAAGUGAAAAAGGUUUAGGACUGAAUUGGUAGAAGUGUAACAUGUUUAGGACUUUUUGGACAAUUUUCCCCCAAAACAACAUUAUUGUGAAAGAAGAGAAAGAUUUGCGUGCCUCAUAUUUUUUUUUUUAAUUAUUUGUAUUUAACUAACAAGUUUCUGCCUCUUUUUCAAUUUACAAAGUUGUGGCCUGUAUAAAUAAAUGGGUUUGAUAACCUCAUAUACGAUGAGAAAAGAUGAUGAGAGUUUGUCUGAACUUUUCCUUCCCAUCUUCGCCUUCCCCUGAUAUUAAAUUUGUUAUGCUCAUUUACAUACUUAAAUAUAUAUCUUCUUUAAUCUUAUUCAUUUAAUUAUCACUCCAUUUGUUUCUAAUUUUUUUCUUUUUGCAAAUGCCCACUCCUAUGUUGCUAAGAGAAUCGAGAUAUUUAUGUUUUGUCGAUGUCACACGUGGACGUAUCUUUAUUGGUAUGUAUCUACUUUGCAGGACAAAUGAAUUAUUAGGUCUUCGUAUUUAAGAAUUUGUUCUACUCUCACCUUUUUCCUCAAUAAUAAGAUUACCUAUAACUACGUCUUGGACAUAUAUAAAGAUAUAGUAACGAGUUCUACACAUUUCUAUUUAACUUAGGUCAACUUUUAUAUUGGUCAUUUCCUUGAUAUUUCAAUUAAGCAUGAUUUUUAUCAUAUCAUGGUUAUCCUGCACAAAGCGCUGGCUAAUGUCUAGCCUUAUUUUAUAUGUAGCAUAAACUAGUACAGUCAGUCUACGGUAAUAAUGGGGAAAGAUACAUAAUGUACAAACAUCACCAUACCCCUCAGAAAGUUCAGGAAAGCAUGAGUUAUGAAGAUGGUCAAAACUUGUCUGAAAACAUUCUCGUGGAAGAGAGCAGUGACAGACCCAGUAAAUGCAACAAUUACCAUGGCCUGAACCAAAAAAAUGGAGCUUGGUUAAUUUCUUGCAGAGAAAGUCUACAACAUUAUGCUGCUCAACGUCAACGCUACCUGCAAUGCCAAUAUAAGGAAUAUCCACAUCCGAUCAAAGCUUCUGUAGAGGUGCAAAAAGGUGCGAACUUCCACAAAAUUAGUUUUGGGUUGCUUCUUCCGGAUAGGACGCUCGCUGACACGCUGCAAUAAUAUUAGUAUAUGCAUCACCAUGGGUUCUUUCUUUUUAUUGACCAGGAUCAACAUGGGUUCGGAGACAUGCCAAUCAGAGAAAAAGAUCAAUUUGUGGUAUUUCGUUGUGCUCCACCCCCUAAUUUUUCGAUUUCCUCAUAUAAUUUGAUAAACCACGAAACUUCUAGAUGUUUUCUUUUAGAAAAACAUCGUGAUUUGGAUAAUCUUGGUUAGCCAUUAUAUCCAUGUACGUUGUCAAAGAAGCUAGCUUACUAUUCGCACUAGUAAGAUUGCUCCUGAUAGCUACAGUGCUGAAAACGCAAAAGUCUCAGACGUAUGGUGUACAAAGAAGUGCAAAAUGGGCUUAGAAUUUAUAAUUCGAAAUUCACUACAUCCCUGGAGAGAAGAAGCUACUAAAAUCUAUUUAUAGCUUCAUCACUACCUAUUUGAUAAAAAAUAAAGGCAUUCAAAUCAAACAAGCUGUUAUAUUCUGACGAUGCUAUGUUCCCCUUUUGAAAUUGGGAGUUUAAAACACAGAACCAAUGAUUAAAGGAGUCGACACAGUGCCUAUUGGUGAAUGCCAGUGAUGCAAUCACUUUCCUGAACUAUAAUUUUCAAAUUCACCCAGUGAAUGGAGAGAAGGAGCUAUUGACAUCUGUGUAGAGAUUUUCUUGAUGCCAAUUUUAUCAAAUAUACAGGGAUUCCUAUCAGACAAGCAUUUUAAAUUCUAACAAUGCUGUGUUGGCCUUUUGGAAACGGGAAGGACACAGAACCACCGCUUAAAGGAGUUAAGCAAUGCUUAUUGCUGAAUCGCCAUAAUCUGGCCAAGAGAUGUAAUCACUUUCCUGAGCUAACUUUUUAAGAAAUGGAAACGGGGAGAAAAAUCUGAUGACAAAGGUAUCAAUGGCACUGCUAAACAAAGCCAAGGUUCCAGAAAAGAAAAAUUCUUUGGAAGCUUGACUGCUCGGCCAAUUAUCAUUGUGUUAUCUAACAGGUUAACCAAAUUGGAAAGUGGUUCCCGGUAACAUUUUCCUUGUUUAGCUAGUAAGUCAUAUAUAUAUAUAUAUAUUAGUGGACAAUGAAGAGUCACAAAAUUGAGUGGCAUCCAAUCUCCCAUGGCCAUAAGUUGGACACAGAAUUGACACGAAAAGCUGCACACAGCAUGCAUGCACGCACGCAAGCACACACGCAGAGGGAGAAAAAGCAGUACAGCAUUUGCAGUUUGAGGAUCGUCUGGCCCAAAGAAAUCAGCUUUCGUAUUCAACGGCCAUUCUAGAUCAAAACACUUGUCGGACCUGAGGAAAUUGAAACGUGAAUUAACUGACUUGCUUCUGCCAGAGUCAUAAAGCUAUUCAUGCUCAAAAGAUAUUACCAGAAGUACUCGUUUAGGUCGUCAUAAUUUCUCCAUCUUGAAUGGCUUGCCUUGCCUCCUUUGUUUCUCUUAGCUUCCUUUAACCAUGAUACUCAAUUUUCAGAUCUCAACAUGGCAAACAAGAAUUUGAGGCAUCAACUGAGAAGGAACAUACCUUGCGAAGGACGUCGUAGAAAGGGGUUAUUACAUCCCUCAAAAAUGACUCGUCAUCAGGUGCUGCCAAUUUAUAUGUUUCUCCACUAACUGCAUGAACAUUACCAUUCAAGAUGACGGAAACAUCAUCCGCCAUCUUGUUCCAUUGGACAAAGAGGAGGUUAAUAUCACAUUACCAACAAGGAAAAAAACUUGCUAGUAAAUGCAUCGUAUACAAGAAAGAUAAGCUUGACUUUCAAUUGCAACACUUUUCAACAGAAGAAUCAACUCCAUUAAGAAAAGUUGUCUUGUCUUUACUCCAUAGGAAAAGCUACUUGGUUUCUUUGCUGAUCAAAAUGUAAGAUCUGCCGCAUUAUUCUCCAGUAGUAAGUAAUGCAUCAAUUCAAAGAUGUGAUUAACAAGAAGAAGAUCGAUGACAUGUUAUUAGAAUGCAAUUAAAAUACAAACAAAAAUUUCCAAGAUUGCAAUUUUGCUCUUGACAGGUUCAUUUCAAUGGCUGAUUAAGCAGAUUUUGCUUCAGCAAGGAAGAGAUUAUCGAAGUUGGGCACGAUGAUGGAUAAGCACCAUAUUGAACGACCCGAUUAUCCCAAAGAAAAUUGUCUAGUAGUUAGAUGGAACAUAAUCAGCUUUUACUCUAGCUGAUUAAGCAGAUUUCUUCCAUUAAUAGCAAACUCUAAAUAUGUUUGAGAUGACUUCUAUUCAUCAAGUAAACAUAAUAUGUGCCUCUGGAUGACUACAAAGGACAUAGAUAUUGAGAUAACCAUAGUACGCACCCUGCGAAAGAUAUAGCAGAGACAUUCAGGCAUAAAUCGAACAUUUGAUGCUUCACCCCAUAUUAGAAGAUAGAGCGCAAUGUAGAUAAGUUGCAACUGUUGUCUGUCACGAUGUGGGGGAAACCUGGAAAAACGGUGGUUUGCCAAAACAUUGAGCAGACUUGCAAAUCAGUUACCCCAUGGCACAUCAGAUGGUGAUUGUUCCUUUUCAAUUUUCAUAUGAAAGAUUUAUGUGAUAGUAGGGCAGAAAAGCUUACUCAAGAUUGUGCUUCUGAUGAAGAUAAUUACACCAGGAUCGAUAGUUCUUGAGAAUUUUUUCCAUCAGCUGAUCAACAGUGUGAUCAUUCAACUGCAGGAGGCAUAUGUCCAAGAUUGAAUCACACCUCAUUUUUAAGUGAACUCUGCUAUUUCUAUAUAAACCUAUGCAGAAAAAUGAUGUACAUACCUCAGUGAAAUUUUCAUCAUCUCUAUCCCUUAUCUCCUUGUUGGCAAGUAAAAGAAUUAAAUGCUCCCUCUGAUUUGCCACAUUUCCUUUCUUCAGCAACAAGAUGAGGAUCCAUAUUUAGUCAGAUAAUGUAUAAUUUCCUUCAUUAGAGAUUCCAGAAAGCAAAGCUGACCUGUGAAACUAAUUAGAAAGGUCAAAAAGUGAUAAGACUAUUCACUUUUGAGAAACCACACAAGGCCAGGUCCACUACAUAAUGUUCACUAAGUUACAUAGGUAAAAUUGCACGUUUCCACAUGAGACAUGUUAUUACUUCGUGUAUUCAAAACACAAAUACUAGAAAAAGCCAUAAGAUCCUUGACAUCGUAGUUAGCCAAAAUCAAAUUCAAAGCCAACGUCUCCACUGUCAUUUGCAAUCUCAACAUCAAUAACUGUUGGUUUGCGGAAGCUAAUGGUGAUGGUUUCAGGCGAGAAUGUGAGAUUGUACUUGGCAAGGGGACAAGAGAGGAUGUGUAGAUGAAAGUGGACUCUCACGGCAAGGGAAGCUCAAGGGAACAACAAGAAGGCUCAUAUUAGUUGGUAGGUAAUACAAAGGAAGGAGGUUUGCUAGUUGCUCAGUGAGUAAGAUUGGACGUCCACCAAGCCUGUUUAUAGGCCUACAUCAUCGACUUACUCAUGCAAAAAUCUCUGCUCAAGUCAGAGAUUUUCUUAUCCUUAGUCAACUCUGCUAUUGAGCUUGUGAACCCACUUUCAACGGGAAAUAUCUCUGCAAGUUGCAAAGAUAAUGUUGUGGUAUAUUCUACAUAAAUGUAGUGUACUCUAGAGAUUCACUUUGCCGCCAAAGUCUGGAUUUUUUUUUUUUUGCAGUAUUCUCUAGUUGAUUAUAGAAAUUGGAUCGGUAAUUUAACAAUACCCUGUGUUGCGAAAACAUUCCCUUAUUGGUUUUGAUGAUUAACAAAAUUUACUGACUUUGAAAUUUGAUUGUAAGUAUUUUUUAAGGAAGGAAAGUUUGAUGAUUACUAUAAUUAAAGUUGUUGAUAAUACUUUCCUAUUUAGAUAAUCAAUCAACCGGCUAGGAAAGAAUAUAUUAUGUACAACAGCUAAAUUGACUGGAUAAAUAUGUCAUCUCUUUGGAGGAAUUUGAAAAAGAAGGUUUUUCAUAAAAAAAAUCCUCACGUUUCCAAUAUUUCCUCACUCUUCGACGACGAGCUACUCUUUAUAAAUAUAGACACUUGACUUUUGAAAGCCCAACAUGCUGUAUGGGUGGCAAAUCUUACGGGAAGCUUCAACCUCGGCGAUCUUCACACCAUCGGAUCUUCUCAACCAAAUCCAGGACCAACGGGUGGAAUAGCUGGAUGAUCCUCUUGAUGACAUGUCCAACGAUUAGCUUGGAUUAGAAGGGGUAUAAGAGAUCUCAUAGCAGAAGGACAACAAUUUGCUUUCAUGAGUAUUGGAGCUUUUAAUUCUAAAAGUCUGAAGGGUGUUUGUGAUCAUUUUGCAUUUGAUUCGGUGAGCAAAAUUAUAUAACUUUUUAGAGAUUGAGAGCAUGUGAGAAAGCUAUACACACAAGCUUGAGUGUUGGAGCUCAGAUCUUGUAACUUCUGAUCGGUUCUCAUUAGUGGAUUAUAGUCAAUUGGCUGUAGCGUGAGAGGAUAGACGUAGGUUUGCAAAAGCCGAACCAUUAUAAACUUGAGUGUGAAAUUCUCUAUCCCUUACACUUUUAAUUUUCUAUAAUAGAAUUGUGCAUCAUAAUAAUUGACCACUUCAUCAUAAGUUGUCUCGCUAGAAUUUUGGGUUAACUUAUUUCAUUUCCGCACAAUCACCUAUUCACCCCCUCUAGGUCAUAGUUUUGCCAUAACACCCUGGACCAAACUAGGAUGUCGAGGUCAUAUGUUUCAAGAGAUACAAUUAGCAAGACAUUUUUCUUGGAAGAAAACGGUAAUGUGUAGCAAAAUGUUAGAUCGGUAAUUCCCACAUACAAGUUUGUGAAACCACUUAUCAUGAUUCAACUGCAAAGGAAUGGCCAGUUAAUUCAGGUGAUUCAAGUUGUUAGCAAUGUUUUCAAACCAAACUGGUAUAAAACCGAGAGGCUGGCAAUUCGCAAUUUAGCCAGUGACACCAUCUGAACCGUUCAGUUCAGUUAAAGUCAACUAUGUAAUAUGGUGAAGUAAUCCCACAAUUGACUUAGGUCAGAGUGCGUGCACUUUUAGCUCUUAGAGAUCGUGGAUUCUGUCUCCGCUGUGGGCAUUCUUUCUCUGAAGGGGUUCAGUUCUUUUGGUCUAAAAUUAUCCACACAAAUAAGUUGGAUGUGCAGCUGGAUCUGGGCUCAAAUCAAAGGCAAGGCAGGGUUCAAACCCCAGCCCAGCCGCAUGUUCUUUACUUUCAAAAAGUUCUCGAGCCUCAUCCAUCGUCAAGUCACCAGUUCAAACGGACCAGUCCGAUUCGGUUUCCCAAACACUGGUAGUAGGCCAAACUUGCCACGUGGAAAGGUUGGUCGAUAUCAUUUGAUGAUGAUAUUAUGUUCUACUAUUUCCAACAUUACUUGAGCACCAACAAAAUUUUCUUUAUCAUUUUGAAUGUGCAUAAGCCACCUCUUAUCUUGUAAAAUAUAAACAAGUGAAGAGUACUUUCAGCGCACUAUGGGGUCAGAGAUUAUGCGCAGCCCUAGAAGCAGCUUGCUAAAGGAGGACCUGAAGCAAUAUCAAGGCACAAUAGUGGACUCAAAUUAUAAUAGGACAUUCAAGAAAAGUUUUACCUGGAACCCAAAAACAGAUGAAAGCCAAUCAAGUAUAUCAGUGUUGGACAGGCUGCUCUCCUUUGGCAUUACCAAAUUAUCAUCCUCAACGUUUGGCCCUCCAUGAGCUCGGAGCAUUGGAAGAUUGUCCACAUUGCGUAUGGCCUGAAGGGCAGCCUUAAUCUAGACUUUUCAUAAAACUUGGUGAGUAAUACAGCCCACUGUUGAGAAAAUCCAACGCAAACCUUUCAUAAAUUGAAAAUUUACCUCAGGAAGUUCCAUAAGUGCAGGUUUAACCUCAAUCGCAUGUAAUGGUAAAAUGUUAUAGGGUACAGACUGCACUUGUUUUCUCUCUACUUUUACAGCAUACCGUUUCGUCUGUAGAGCAAAAGCCAUUUGCAGAUACCAUUAUUCAGUGCUUGCCACAGAAAAGAACAGAAAGAUGAACGCAGGCUAGGAAACUAAAACUCUUUCACUGGAACCUGAUCAUCAAGCUUUGAGGGAUGCACCACGGUUUUCAAAACAUCAUAUAAUACUGUAGCAAUCUGAUAUAUCUUGGCCAUUUCUUCCCUUCAAGAGUUAACAGCAAAAGGAAGAAUCAAUAAAGUGAAGAGGUUCUUUGGCAGUCAAUCAAAUAACAGUAAAGCCUUACGGCUUUUUGGUGUAUCGGGCAUCUCUGAUAUUUUUUUCAUAUAACAUCUGGUAAUACAUCUGGAUUUCUGUAGGAUUAUCUCCGGCAAGCUGAAAAUGCGUCUCUUCUAGUUCCUACAGAAUUAGAAUUUCAGAUAUUAAACGGUUUGCAUACAAGUUACAACCCAGUCCAUCUGCUGGUUUUUCCCCCACCAAAGCUAAAUUCUGCAACAUAUUGUGCAUAUAAUACAAACAAGGAAAUAGGAAGAAAAUAAUAAAAACAAUUUUCCUUACAAACUAUAACAAGAAAUGGCGAUGGAUGACAAGAAUGCAAUAUCAUUAUCAGCAGGCAAUAUGCCUAACAGCAUUGGAGCGACAGCAGGGCCAUAGACAAAUAAAGACAUUUCAAGCUAUCAAGAAUAGCAACAUUUAGAUGCUCUUUAUAUCCAAAUGCCAUGUUAGGAUGAUACCCCUACAUCCUCCCUUUUCCAAACCUUCGGGUUGAAUGAUAAAUGGCACUAACAUAUGAGGUCAUUUAUAAGUUGGCAUCCCAUGAACUUAAACUUCCAGUUGCAAGAUUUAGGUUAAUUAUAUUUAAUAUCAUAUGAUUUGUCAAGAUUUCCAAGGAAAACUUCAAAUGUGAAGACAUAGAAGUACAUAACAUUUCAGGAAAAAAAAGAUAUUGAUCUCAAAGGAUCAAGCACCGAAUAGUGCUUACAAACUCUGGUCUGAGUGGUUCAAUCCCCUAAAUGAGAGAUCAGCUAACUAUAAGUCGAGAAACUCUUCAAGUCACUGAGUCUGUAAGCUUUGGACAAGAAUGGCCUAGGGACCAAGAAUGGUGCCACUAUGGAUUAUGAUUGUUGGAUAAGUGGUCAGGGAGGUUUCCUGAUGACAAUGAUAGCCCUCGAUAACUGAUUGCUACUCUAUAUAUAUAUAUAUGUGUGUGUGUGUGUGUGUGUGGGCGCGCGGGCGCAGUUUCAAGGGGCUUUUUAUAGUCUAUGGUCCCUCAUGUUAGGAUGCACGUGUGAGUGAAUUAUGUUAGAAAGAUUCUACAUUGGAGAAUUAAUGUAGUGUAGAGCAAUUUAUAUAUCAUAGUUGGCCCAUAAUUCAUUAACUUAAGCUUUCGAGUGAAGAUGGAUCCAACUGAAUAUAUUAACGGGCUCGAAUUUAGGCUCCCUCUUGACAAUCUUCUCAGUGAAGGUAUCAAGCUUUUGUUGCACGCUCCCAACAAAUAGUAUUAGAGCCCAUGGUUGCGGUUGCUGGACAGAUGGUGUUGUGGUGUAUCAAUACGAGCCCAUAAGAAGUUGACAACAAAUAGCAUCAAAGCCCAUGGUUGCUGUUUCCAGAUAGGUGGGUGUUAUGGUGCAUCAAUGUGGGCCCUUAUAAAGUUGAUGCAGAAGAAUGCCUGAAUUAAGGGGGAGCACGUGAGGGAGAAAUUGUUAGGAUACACGUGUGAGUGUUGUACUAAAGAAAUCCCAUAUCGGAGAAUUGAUGUGGUGUAGAGUAGUUUAUAUAUCUUAAUUGGCCCAUACUCAUUGGUUUAAGCUUUCAACUGGAUAUAUUGAUGAGCUUAGAUUUAGGCUCCCUCUUGAUUAUCUCCCCAAGUGAACUCCCAACACCUCAAAGAACUAAUCCUUGAGAAUUGGAAGCUAUUAGAUCCCAAAUGAAUAGAUCUUGUUUGUUCAAUGAAAACCCUUUUAAGAGUUUACGCAUUACAAUACAUUGUACGGGAACUACGCCAAAGUACACUUUGGCAUCACCGUGGACAGUUCCUCAAGGGGACCAUGGAAGCCCCCAUAAUUUCAGAUAUGGCUUAAUUAACUCUAAUGCCGCACGGUACUUGAGAAUAAGUCUUAGAAAGUGUAUCGGUAAGGGUUGCAACGCAACAGCUUCAUUUCUAAAUCUAUCACAUUCGAUGUUGAAGAGAUUCAAACGGCAAAGUCCCGAUGGAUGUCUGGAGUGAUGAUUAACUUUUUCUACUGCUCUUUAAUGUUUGUUAUCCAUUGCAAAGAGUCUGAAAAAUUAGUGCUGGUUUUCACUAGAGAUCUAAGUCAAGAAGCCAUUGAGAAGCAUGGGAGAUUAAGAGUGUGUUUGGUAAGGCUUCUAUUUUCGAGAACAAUUUCUAAUAAAAAAUGAUUUUUUUUAUUCUAUUUCUUAGAACAAUUUCUAAGUAUUUUAAAUCGUUUAGUAACUAUCAAAAAUUUCAAUUCUCUGAAUAGAAUUACGUUUGACACCGUUUUUAAAAUUUCUACUUCAAAUCAUUUUCUUUUAAUUUUUAAAUAAUUUUAUUACAUUCUUUUUUUUUCUUCUUCUUUCCUUUCUCCUCUUAUUCUUCUAGGGUUGCUGGUCGCUGCCUUGGGAUGAUCGGCGACCGGCCAGAUGAGGGCCAGCCACAUCGCUAGAGCGUCAUUAGCCCUCGCAAAGGCUGCGCCUCAUCAGCCGAGCCUCGCUGGCAGUUGGGCGAGGCUCAGCCGACCCUUGGCUAGGCGAGUGGCCUCACCCAGAUCAGGCGAGGCUGAGCUCGCCCAAUUGUUGGCGGGGCUCGACCUCGUCGAGCCACCGUGAGCUCGGCCUCACCUUGGCUGGGCAAGGUAUGCCUUGCUUGUGAUGGCCCAGGCGGCGAUGCAUAGGGAGGAGGGAUGGCAGUGCGCUCGUGCCUCGGUUCUCGAACGUGCGCAAGGAGGGGUGUGUCUCUUGUCCCACAUCACCUAAAGAGGGGGUUUUGGGUUGCCUAUAAGGUAAUGGGCUUUCUAAUUGUACACGCAUUUUCUUGGGGUAGUAUGGGUUACUCUAAAAAGAACAAAACCGUGAGAAUUUAAUGUAUAAAGCUGAUAAUAUGUGUACAAUGAAGACUUAGAGUGUUACAAAUGAUAUUAGAUCCGACUUUGCGUCCACACCUCGGUCCCCGGAUGUGCACAGGGAUGGUGCGCGAGGGGGAAGGAAGGCAAUGGGCCCUCUAAUUGUACACACGCAUUUUCUUGGGGUAGCAUGGGUUGUCUUGAGAAAAAACAAAACCGUGAGGAUUUAGUGUUUUGGGGUAGUAUAGGCUGCCUUGAGAAGAACAAAACCGUGAGGAUUUAGUGUCCAAAGCGGAUAAUAUGUGUACAAUGAAAACCCAUGGUGUUACAUUGUUGGUAGCUAGGUGAGCCUCCGGCGAGAUCAUUGGACUAGUAGCCAAUGAUUGGUGGUGAUGGACAACGGCGAUGAUGGUGGUGGCGGUCAAAGAAGAGAAAAGAGGGAAGAAAAACAAGAAGAAAGAAGAGAAAAGAGAGAAAAAAUAUGGGUUGACUUGAUUCUAAAAUUAUUCUCGAGAACAACAAAUCAUUUUUUUUUUUACUUUUCGAUUAUGUUCCAAAUCUACUUUUGAAAUAAAAAAAUUGUUCUCGGAAAUAAAAAAUUUAUCAAAUGAAUUUAUAUUCCAAAUCUACUCCCGAAACAAAAGAAUUGAAUUAUUUACUGUUUGGCAAGUUGCCAAAUAGAGCCUAAAAGACCCAUUUCAUUCUUGGAAGGACCAAUUUCCCAAGCAGAAGAUAUGGGGAUAAUAAAACUUUAUAAAACCUCACAAAGGACAAAAUAUUGAACGGGACUCUUAAGAGUAUGAAUAACACAAUCUCUUUCCAUGGAAACAUAAGGAAUGCUAAAUCUCCAUCAAAGGUCUGCUCCUUUUUUUUUUUUUUUCAAUUCUGAACUGCGAUUCUAGAUAACAAGAAAGAAAAAUGACAACCUUAAGCUUAGGAAAAUUGUAACGGUCAAUUGGUUUUCUCUGCCAAAACAAUUGGUACAUCUGCUUAUUCAGUGGUUGCUGACAUUUAUCACACUGUUGGAUCUUUUGGCAGGGAUAUCUUGGGUCAAGCCCUACUGUAAUAAGUGCAAUUGGAAGCCAGAAGGCAUAUCAGUCAGUUUUGACAGAGACCGUGGAACUCAGUGCCAUCUUGUGUAACAUGGAAGAUCUAGUUGGAGAGAGAGAACAGAAAAGGUUUUCCAAAGCUGAUUGCCAUUGCUGACAAGUCAGCUGUGGAGUGAUAUUCUGCUUGAAGUUGGUGAUCUCUUAUCUAUUCAUAUGUCUUAAUUGUAUAGCUUCUUUUUUAUUUUCUGAUACUGUCCUAUGUAUACAUCCAGUCCAAUAGGAUACUCCUUGUUUAUGUCUGAGUCAACUCAAACAAUCUACAACGCAAAUCCAUGGUAAUAUCGCUCAACAUGAUUUUCUCACAUCUUGAUACUUAGUAAAUGUGAAAAUGCAGUCUCCGGCCAUUAGAUCUAAAAAGCACAGUCGCUUUUGUUAGUUUAGUGUUGGAAUUUGUGAUCCAAUUUCUGACAUGAAAUUCUCUAGUCCAAUCUAGACAACUCUAGUGGACGUGAGAAACGAACAAUGAAAAGACAACCAAACAAGCUGCCAUCUCUUGUGUGUUCUAGAACACUCCAUCUUAUGUUACUAAUAGUAGCUAUUUGUAGCCUCCACCGACUUUGGCAACUUAUAUAAAGGAGCAAGUGCUCCAUGUUUUGGGAGGGAGCUAACCAUAAAAACCACAUCAUGUAACUCCCUCACCAACACAUCCUUCAACUGUUGUAUAACCAUCUUUAUAAGCUAGUGAAACUAUCUUUAUCCCAUACACUUCUCAAAAUAUCCUAUUCUUGUCUAUUCUCUAUCAAAUAUAAACUAUACCAUGCUUUCGCGCACAUUUAAAUUCUAACAUGGUAUCAGACCUAGGCAUAUCGGAUGAUUAUGGGCGUUUGUUCCCACCAUCCUCAACUAAAAAGGUUAAAGCCCGAGCGAGAGCCAAGGGAGUCGGAGCCGGAGCCAAAACCAAAGCCGGAGCUAGAGCCAGAGCCUACGAGAGCCAGAGCUCGAGCCUGAGCUAACAACUACAACUAAGAGUGAUGGCCCAAGACAUAUGGGACAUCGUUGAAGAAAAGACAUACACAUUCAAAGGCAAGUGCAAGUAUUUCGACAAAAGGAUACAAGCGAUUGUGGAACGAAGAUGGAAUAAAAGGCAUGGGACAAAUUACAAGAGAAAUUUCAAGGUAUGUCUGAGGCUUUAUAACACAAGUCCAGAGCAUCCUGAAAUUGGAUCAAGGGGGAGUGUUGAAAUUUGUGAUCCAAUUUCUGACAUGGAAUUCUCUAGUCCUAUCUAGACAACUCUAGUGGACGUGAGAAACGAACAAUGAAAAGACAACCAACAAGCUGCCAUCUCUUGUGUGUUCUAAAAGACUCCAUCUUAUGUUACUAUAAAAUAAUAGUAGCUAUAUGUAAAGAAGUCUAGAGACUUUCUCCACCGACUUUGACAGCUUAUAUAAAGGAGCAAGUGCUCUAUGUUUUGAGAGGGAGCUAACCAUAAAAACCACAUCAUGUAGCUCCCUCACCAACACCUCCUUCAACUAUUGUAUAAGCAUCUUUAUAAGGUAGUGAAACUAUGUUUGUCCCAUAAACCUUAUCAAAAUAUACCAUCCUUAUCCAUUCUCUAUCAAAUAUAAACAAUACCAUGCUUCCACGCACAUUUAAAUUCUAACAUUUAGCCAUCACAUCAUGAAAAGAUAAAAUGCAUCACUGCUAGUGACAUGAUGUGUAAAUGAACUGCAUUGAUGUUUCUUAUUCAGCAAUGCCGCCGCAACAGGCCAAAGGCCUCGUGAACUAGGAAAGAUACCUUCUCAAGCCUGUGUAAGAGAUAAGUCUUAAACUGGCGAACACCCGGUCCAGCUGAUGUUGGGUCAAUCUUAUGAGCCCUCUCAAAUGCAUGAAAGCGACCUAAUAGGAAGAUAAAGCAAGAUAAAGGAGAAGUUUUGCUACAGAAUAGGAAGAGAACCAUGUUUGAAGUCCAACUAAUGCAAUUUCAACCUUGCCAUGCAACAUCUUAAUAUUUGUUAAGAAGACACUAAUAAUAAGGUAGACCACUGAGAGAGAUCAAUGAACAUGCAGGAAAAGCAUUUAUUAUUUGCUCCACUCUUACAACUGAUAAGACGCAAAGACGGACAGAAGUGAACAGCAUAGGCAGAAUUUUCACAAAAGAAAGAUGACACCAUCACUGAUCUCUUAUUAACGAACCAUUAGGGCUUCCACAGUGACUCAAACCAAGUCAUGUUACAACUUCCAAUCUAUUUCUCCAUCUAUUACAAUGUUCAUAUCGACCAUAUGCUUUAGACACUCAUCGUGGCUACUUUGGUGUUUGAAUAGUAAUCAUCUGUGGCUCUAACAUAGAAUUCUUGUUUUGAUGGUAAAAAGAAUUCAAAGAGCAGCGCACGCAUAUAGAGAGCUAAGGGUGUGGAACUGGAUCAGGUAUACCCGGGAACUGGACCGGCCCACCCAAAAAUUAGGGUCGGAAACUGGUUCCUGUUGAAACAGGUUCGGCAACCGAUUCCCAAAAUUUGGAACUGGUUUAAACCGGUCCGGGAACUGGUUCUGGGUGAUUAUCUACUCGGGAAAUAGUUCCUGAACCCGUUUUGGAAUCGGUUCUCGGACUGAUUUUGUAAGUAGAUGUCCAAAACCUUAUUUUUUUCCACAUUUCUAUUCUUACUCCCACAAUUACAUGGCAUUCUUCCUCUUGGCUCUCUCAAAUACACACAGCACUCCUCCUUCAUUAUUCCUCUUCCUCACUUGCUUCCCUCCCUCACCGGCUCCCUCUCACACCGUCCGACAGACGGACGGUGUUCGUCGCCACCAAAUUCUCGUGUAUCACGUGAAUUGGCUCACAUAAUUUUUCUUUUGUAAGAUGAGUUAUACUUACAUAAAUGAGUAACUUCAUGUAGUAAUUGUGGGAAUAAAACUAAUAUUAGACCCAUGUUUAUUGCUAAUUCUUUACCAUAUGAUUUUAUUAUUAUUUCCGUGGAUCCUUAAUUUUUCGUUUAGUCAAAAAGUUCAUGUAUUCAUUUAUUAUAAGUGCUUAAUAUUUUGAUACAAAUUAUGAGGAUUACGUAAUUUUCUCACAUAUUAAUAUAAAAUUCGAAAUUGUAUAGGAUAUUGAGAGAUUGCAAAACAAAUUUUAGUAAAAACAGAGUUAACCCUAUAACCGGAUCGGAAAAAUAAGGUGGGUUAAACACAGUGUCCAAUACAAACAGGGUCGGAUACAUGGUCCAAAAAAAGGGGAACCGGUUAUAAUAGGGUCAGGAAUAGGGUCCACGUCUAAAUCCUACCCACCUUAUGUUUAAGCAAACUAUAAUGCCACUUGACCUAGAGUUGGAACGGGAUUCCCUUUCAUGAGCUCUUAAGAUGACAACUUGAGCAUUGACUUUGAAAUGACUUUCUUCCAAACUUAUAUUAGAUACAUUCAAUUAGAUAAUCAGACAUUAGAUUAGAAACCAGACACUGGAUGUCAAAUUCAAUUAUAAGAGAGUUCUAUUUUAAGAAUACUCAGCCUAUUUUCUUGUCAUUGUCUCCACCGAGUCGCCUAUGAAAAUUUUGCUGUAGAACGAACCAAACAACGGGAAACAGGGAAAUAAAGCGAACCAAACAGAAAUGAGACGAGAGAGAGAGAGAGAGAGAGAGGAGGAGCUUACACAAAAACGCGACCCUCGGGUUCUCCUCCUCGACCUCGUUCGCCACACGGAGGAUCGGUUGGAUGGCGGCAAGUGAAGAGGGCACCAGCUCGCUGUCCACGGCGGAGGUGUCCUCGACCGGCAAGUCGGCCAUCAUCAUAUGCGCCAACAUCAUCUUUUCCGACAGCGAUGGGAGCGGGCCGGAGCCCGGCUCUGGCUUGCUCCCGCUUGAGCUCGCCAUCCGCAGCCGCGGUGGCAGUGGUGGUUCCCCCCUCAGACAGGCCCCCUCUUCUCUGGUAUCACCCGGCUCCUGCUCCUCCGGUGGCCGCGGUAGUUCGGGUCUCUACAGUGCCAGAAGCAUCCAGCGAUCGGCUGGCGUCAUUGUCCUCGUCGCCCUCGGCUUGCGCGGGUCUCGAAGAGAGAUGUGGACUGCACCCAUCACCAUCUUUUCCGCGCACUUAUAUACGCGCAGAGGGAUACUUUGGGUGGUGAGUGGGGAAAAGGGAGUUGCUCCUGGAGCAAGCAAAGAAUGAGAGAAUGUGUCGCGCGGGGAGGACUGUUGGUUUUCCUGCUUUGCGCUUUCGUCCGGUCGAGUGAAGAAAUGCGGCUCUUUUUGCUUUGUUGCGCGCGAAAGUGCGACUGCGAACGAGGAAGGAAACGCUCCCCCGAUUUCAGUUUUCGGUUUAUGUCGGUUUUGUUCUCUCUUCUUGUCCUUGGGCUCCCUCAUGUGUUGGGUUUGGGCCUGAGCAGUGAGCGGUGGAUUUGAUGCCUCGAUGCCCAUUCUCCACAUAGAAGAGAAUGACCUCCGCGGAACUCAUUCAAUAAUUUCAAUUCAUAAGUAAAUAGUUGGGAAAAUGACAGAGAUGGCCAUUGAAUUUUGGUUCAAUGUGUAAUGUUGUCUCAAGCCUUUAAUUUAUUCAAUAUGAUCAAUGAAUUUUUUAUACAUCUUCGAUUUAAUCCCCGGACUAAUAUUUGUAGAUUUGGCAUCCAAUUCGAUAUGUUUGAAUGAUGGACAAAAAAAGUUCCACCUUAGACAUUUAAUUUGAAUUAGAAUAUAAUGAUCAUUUUAAGUUGUUUCAAUUUGGAAAAAUAAUUAUUUAUGUUAUCUGAUGAUGUUGAUUAUUAUAUUUUGAUUUAAGUUCUAACGUCAUUUUUGUCUCUACCUUUCAAACUAACCGGAUUAGAUGCCAAAUUACCAAAUUCCAUUAACUUGAAUUAAUAGAAAAAUAACAUUUGAAUAUUAGGAACUGGAUUGAACAUCUAUUAAAAAUUGAGGGCUAAAUCGAAUAAAUUAAAAUUUUAAGGACGACAUUGCACAUCUAGCCAAAAUUUAAGGGUUAUUUGUGAAAUUAUUUCGGCAAUAGUUUGAUUUGAGAAUAGGUUCUCUUGUUCAGCUAAUUAAUCGAUGAUAAUCGAAUAAGGAAUUAUCUAAGAUACCUAGAUCUCCACUAUCACACCCCAAAUUCUAUAGGGAUGAGGGAGUGACACGAUCAUCCUUUCUCCAAAGUACACAACCUCAAUUAUAUCCAAAAUAUCCCGCUUCCAAAAGUUCCCAUGAUAACGCUUUCAUUCUAAUGACCACUAAUUGAGAUACCUAAAAAGCAUAAUAAUAAAAAGGAAUGAGCUACCACUGCCCAAUGAGAAAUACAUUUUUUAAAGUAGAUUAAACAAUUACUAUGUACACUUAUAAAAACCAAAUCCAAAAUAUAUCAAACUUACAAUCUUAUUAAAACACAAGUCGAUAGUCCAUUCCAUCAACUGAACUUAAGCUUAAGUAUCUAGUCAUGGUCAUGAAUAACGCCCCGUGAUAAGGCGACCAAGAUGCCUCCCUUGGUUAGGUCUCCACUUAUUAUAAGCUGGAGACUUGGCCUACACCAAGCAUAAUCUUUCAACCUCAAUCUCCAGAAAUCCACAAUCAAAAUCAAAAACCAUCUCACAACUCAAGUUUACUAACCAAAUCAACUUUUCACCAUUGAUUAUAUAUAUCACAAUCCAUUUCAUAAACCAAUUGAAAAACCAAUAUAUAACAUUCCAUCAACCAUAUUUAAAAUCAAGAAUUUCUCAAGCAAUCAGUUUAGACUAUAGUCAAAAGAUAACAUCGUCACAUAUAAAACACUUUUGAAAUAUGAGCUUACAAACUCAAAGAAUAUAUGGUAUCACUCACUUGGGAAAAGCCGAAAAUCAAUUUACAGUAGUUACUUGAGCUGACGCACUCGCAAUCCUAUCAAUGAUUUGAAAAACAAAAUUAAAAACUGAGUAAUACACAACUCUGACAAAUGACUUGACUAGCCACAUUCAACCGUUCAAUGUAUGGACUCCUAAGCGUUAUGAAGAAGCUCAUUUAGGAUGUACGUUUGUCUUUUGCCGUAAUUUAUAAUAUCCGUUACGCAUAACUUGCACGCAAAAUUUUGAAAUUUCUUUCCAAACAAACCAUACUUCGAAAUCGAGUUUCGUCAAACCCCACCACUUCACAACGCCCUAAACUACUAUUUUCACAAAAAUUGCAGCUUCAAAAACUCCUUAAUUGAACCUCACAGUUCAAAAUUUACAUAACUCCAAAUUUGUGCCAUAACUUCCAAAAUUACUUCAAUUGGAUGGAUAAUUGGCCUUGAAUACUUAUCAAGUGUUGUGAUUUGUAGUUGAUUCAGUUGGUCGAGGUGUCCUAGUCAGCUACGCAUGAAAAAAUUUCCUUCUUUUCUCUUCUUCCCCUUAUUUUAUUUCUUCACGAUCGAGCUUCUCGUUCUUCUUCUUUUGCUUUUAUGUCUACUGCCUUGACUUCACAUGAGAUAAGUGGAGAAGAAUUAAUGAAGAUGGGCUGAAUUUCUCUAUUAAAAACAUGGGUUUGGGCUUGAUGGGCCUAUGUAUUACAUUCACAUCAUAACAAGAAACGCACUCUCACGCUGUUGCAUGUGGUAGCAUUUGUCAAUAAGAGAACUUAAACUAAAUAUCUCCUACACAUGUUGUUAGGCGGUUAGUUUUAAUGUGAAUACCCUAGAAACUAUUUUAUCAGGGUUGGUUUUCAAUUUUUGACCUUGAAAUCGUCUCUCUAGACCCUAAAACAGGCUUAGAAUCGACCAACUGGUUUCAGAGUUUACCCAGGAAUUGGCCGAGGCAUUUUUUCUCUCGUUUUAUUAUACAUACAGUAUGCAUGUGCUAAGCGCGAAUAUGAUUCUUUCUAUUGAAUGAUAAAAUGUCAAAUGUAUUCUAUUUCAAUAAAUAUUUUCUAUGUUAAAAAGGAGUAUAUUUACUUAGAAUUAAGGGUAAAUAAGUUCAAUUCUAGGUUCUUCCCCAUAACCAACCUUACAAAUUCUAGGUUUCCAUGUACAACUGGCCUAUUUAAAGCAUGGAACUUGAAACCGACCAAUCAAGGCUAGUUCUCGAUUGAACUUAACACCUAACCGAUUAAGGUCCAUUCUUGAGUUGAACCAAUCUGAUUGCCCACCCCUAGCAUGUUGCACUACUACUAAAUUUGAUUGCUAGCGUAGCUUGAAGAUGAAAUGCAGGUUGAAACCUCACGUCUUUCAAAGAAGCCAAUAAUAUUUUUGUUACUGGAAAUGCCAUUACCAAGAGAAGACUGCAUUUUCCAACGCUGUAAAGUUGUAGUACAAUGCUCGAUUUAUACUACGAUCACCAUAAUCUCGCUAAUCACAUUAUCUACUCGGAUUCUGCAUUGUUUGCUUUUGCCUCCAUUUCUGGUGACCCUGCGAGUUCUUGGUGGCACCCUUGCUGUUCUUUCUCCAAUCUACAAACCACAUGCUAAGCCAAAUGUUCGAGGACAGGCCGUCCUCAUUCGUCUAUUGCACAAUGCCUCAACUAUCGAGCCACUGUAUUCCCCAGAGGGGGAAAAUGAUCGAUUCCUCUUCAAUUGGAAUACGAGCAAUUACCAAGCUGAUGGCAUGUUCCUCCAAUGCAAGAGGUCUUCCAUCUCCAACUGUAUUUGAGUAGCUACAGUGCCUUCACCAAUCUAGCAGGCCUUGCCGUGCUUGGGAAGCUCGCGUGCAUCCCUCAUGUCCCAUAUCAUACAGUUCACGAAAAGUUCGAGAGAAUUCAUUUAAAUAAAAAAGUAGUUCUGUAGAAACAAGUUGUCUCUUCUGACCAGUCCAGACCCCAGACUUCAGAUUGACGGCACGCCAGCCCAACAUCCUCUGGAACAUGCUUCCCCUCUUGACUUUUGAUAAACUGUCAUAGUCCACGACAACCCGUGAACGUCUGAUGUUUGGUCACAUGCACUUUCUCAGGACUCGGUAAGAGAGACAUUCUCGCAGUUCGAAUUUGAAUAGCAGGGUGGCGGACUGACUCACGAGAAAACUUAAUUCUUGAAGGAAAGAGGGGACAUGAUCACAAUCUGAGGAAAGGGGAGAUUCUUUCGUCCAGCUGUUAGUACAUACGUGUUUCCGUUGUACUCAUUAGAGAGGGCCCCUGGGUGUUGUUUCUGGAUUCUUAGACUCGUCUUGAAUAUGUUUGGUCUUGACACUCCGCAUCAAAGCCAGAAUCAUGGCAGAACCCCAUUCUCGGUCACCUGGCAUUUCCUUCUCGGAAUUUGUCAAAGCAACGCAAAAGCAAAUACCAUGCCCACGUGGAACUUCCUUCCGUUGCCUGUGGCAUGCAGUCAACUAAUCUUCUACAUCCCUGUCAGCAAUGUGGAAGAGGAAAACAUCAAGAAGAGCCUUAAAGCAUCAAUAUUCGCGCACACGCUAGAAAACAUCUUCGAAAGGUUACUAAUGCAACGCUGUUCCCUAAUAAGAAAACGAUGCGCAAAUUGACAAUGUCAUACUAUGGCUUUAUAAACCAACUCGCAGGACUUCAAACGAGUCUGCGGUAAGCACGAAUGCCCCUACCACAAUGACUCGUGUAUUUGCACGAAGAGAGCAUCAAACAGGAAUAUUAUGAAGUCAAAAUAAAGGGGAAGCCCUCUCCUGGACUAAGGAAAUCACUACAAAUAAAAUGCCUAGUCAAUGGAAUUUGACAGACUUUCAUGGGUUCAACCCCCGAGGCAUUCUUACGAAAGGAAGAAUGCAAAAAAGUACUUCGAAGAAGACCAGCAUGAGGUGAUUUUAAAGAGAGAUUGAGAGCAUAGCAACAUUAAAAUUUUCAAACUGUUGAGCUUCAUGUACGAGUACAUUAGAGACCUCAAAGGAAUUAUUGACGGAGGUGGAACACCUAGGGGAUGCAUGAAAACCAUUAUGUUCCAGAAAUAGUUUAUGGAAUAGAAAUUGAUUUUUCUAUUUCUAUUUCUAGAAGAGUUUCUAAGUAAAAAUAACCGUUUGAUAACGACACACAAUUUCUACUCUAAAAAUAAAAAUUCGUUUGAUAACGAAAAAUAAAAAUUCGUUUGAUAACAACACAAAAUUUCUCCAUUUCAGACGACGGUGGACCAGCGGAUGGCGUCGCCAGCGGUGGCGGCGGUGGCUGACAACGGUCGGCUAUCGGCGGCGGCGGCGGCGGUAGCUGACAACAGCCGGCUACCGGCGGCGGCGGCAGCGGCGGCUGGCGGGCAAUCGAUGGACGGUGGUUGGCGGCAACGGAUGAAGGACCGAUUGACGAACGAUGAGAAAAUUUUUAUUUCUAAUUUUUGUUUCAGAAAUAGAGAAGUAUAUUUUUUCUACUUCUGAUUUCUCUUCUAAACUUAUUUCUGGAAUAGAAAUCUAUUUCGGAAAUAGAAAAAAGGAGACGGUUUAUCAAACAGAUUUCUUUUGGGUUAUCAUGCACCUCUUAUUAACUGGAAGGAGGGAGAAAAGGUCCAGGUGGAGUACUGCAUAUGCCUCAUGUUUGAAACCAUCUUAAGACACUAGCAAAAAGAAUAGUUACUCAGAAAACUUGAUGGACUAGCAAGCAACCUGGUUUCUAGAGUUGGUUGCAGCAACCCAUCGAUUGGAAAGACGUGUAGCUAUUGCACCAUAACUUAAAAAUGUUACUGUGGCAUAAUUCCCUUGACAAUGUGAUGUUAUUGGACAUAGCAAUUCCCUCAUCACCCAUAAAAAAGGCCGAUUGUUGAAUUAUCCUGAUUUUUAGGAGCUGAUUAUUAGGAAUAUUCAAUCCUGAUUUUUUGGGUCCUACUUAUUAGGAAAUAGCUGUAUAUAAUUAGUAAGGAAAUGAUUUAUUAGUAUCCCUUGAUUUGUGGGAUUAUAGCUGUAUUAUUCAGAUCUGUUUUUUCUUAGUUAGUACUUAUAGAAGUCCUAUAAAUAGCUUUGUAAUCCUGGUACAAAAAUAUAGGGAAUUAUCACAAUUCUUUUCUCUAAAUUCUUCAUGGUAUCAGAGCAUUAGGCUCAUUUUUCUAGGAUAGUGUUGCGGAUAGUGUUGCGGUGCAUCAUUCAUUGAUGCAAUAAUCUUUUAAUCACAAUCUUCAUUGCUAGAUUUGUUUUUGUCCUUAACAAUCUGAUUGCAAUUGUGAUUGUUGUGAUCCCUUUAGCUAUAUUUUUCCCUCUUCGCUUCUAAACUUGUCCCAAUUUUUUUUUCCCUAAAACCUCAUUCACUUGCAGCCUUUAUUGCUUCCACUUUUUUGCUCUUCCUUUCCAAGUACUUUCUUUAUGCCUGGAAUUAUUCAUGUCUCAUACAAAACUGAUUGGAGAUACUUCGGGUCAAACUGAGGAGGCCAACACCAACCAUAUGACCGGAGAUCUACAAAAUGUGAGAGCAACUUAUAGGCUGAAUGAAAAGAAUUAUCUUAAAUAGUCACAAUUUGUCAAGACCUAUCUGAAGGGUAAAGGAAGACUCAACCAUCUUUUCGGAACAGGUCCAACACCAUCCUAUGUUCAACGCAUGAGAUGAGACAGAUUCAAUGAUCAUGUCAUGGCUUGAGAUGCAGCGCAAGUAUAUAAAAUCAAGGUAAAAACCAAGUGCAACAAAACAAGAGAGCAAAAUGGUGACGGAAUAUGACAAUUCCCUUCAAAAUCUAUGGCAAGAACUCGAUCAUUAUCGAGUACUUGAGAUGAAAUGUGCAAAUGAUGCUGCAACUCUAAAAACCUUCUUUGAAAAGGAUCGAGUAUAUGAUUUCUUGGCAGCUCGUAACUCUGAAUUUGACCAAAUCAGAAUUCAAAUACUUGGAAAGGAAGAAAUCCCUUCUUUGGAAGAGACGAUCUCUCUAAUCCAGGCAGAAAAAAGUCGAAGGGGAAUAAUGCUAGAGCCUCAAGCUAUGGAUGUUUCAAGGCUUACAUGGAGGGAUAAUCGAGACAGUUUGUGGUGUACCUACUAUAAAAAGCCAAGGCGUACAAAGGAAUGUUGCUGGAAGCUGAUGGCAAACCAACAACCUCAAGCCGAGAGUGGGGAAACAAAGGAGGACAACCAAGGCCCUAUGCUCAUCUAAUUGAACAGACCAACCAGCAAAUUAGUCAAAGCGAAGGACAGGUGAAAGAAUCAUUCAGCAGCGAGAAAAUAGAAAAAAUUAAAGGGCUUUUAAGAUCUCUUGAUAAACCCUCUACUGCAUGUUCCUUAGCACUCUCAGUAAGUCUCCAUUCUUUUUUCUUUUUUUUUUUGUCUAAAUGCCUCAGAAAAACUUUCAAGCGAAGCUUGGAUAAUAGACUUGGGUGCCACUGAUCGCAUAACUCACACUUCACAUUUCUUUAAGUACCUACACCCCAUGCCCAAGCAAUAGGAAAAUAGUGGUGGCAGAUGGUUCUCUGGCCACUGUUGUAGGAGUUGGUGAUAUAUAUAUUACACAUUUUCUCCCUCUAAAACAUGUCCUCCAUGUGCCGAAACUAUUAGCCAACCUAAUCUCCAUACAAAGACUCACCAAUGACUUCAAAUGUUAUGCAAUUUUUUAUUUUACUUGUGUUUUUCAGGAACAAGAUUCGGAGAGGAAGAUUGGACUUGCUAAGGAAAAGAAUGGGUUUUACUAUCUAGAGACACAGAGGAUUUCAAAGAAAGUCAUAAACAAUUCUCCCUUGUCAUUUUUUAGUGCUUCAAAUAAGGAUGUCAUUUGGCUUUACCAUUUUCGUUUUAGUCAUCCAUCUUUUCAUGUCUUAAAUAUUAUGUUUCCUUCCUUGUUUAAAGGAUUAGAUAUGAGUCAAUUCCAAUGUGAUACUUGUGAAUUUGCUAAGCACACCCGUGUAUCUUUUCCUAUAAACAACAAAAGAAGUUCUCAUCUUUUUAAUUUGAUUCAUAGUGAUAUUUGGAGACCUUCCACAAUUCCAAAUAUCUUAGAAGCUCGAUGGUUUGUUUCUCUAAUCGAUGAUUGCACUAAGGUCACAUGGAUAUUCUUACUCAAAUGCAAAUCUGAUGUAAGUAAUAUUGUUCCUAAUUUUAAUUCUAUGGUUCAAAAUCAAUUUGGAGUAAAAAUUAAGAGCUUUAGAUAAUAUAAUGCUAAAGACUACUUUCAUCAGAUCAUGUCAACCUAUUUCCAAAAGGAAGGGAUCAUCCAUGAGUCAUCUUGUAUAAAUACACCACAACAAAAUGGGGUGGCCGAAAGGAAAAAUGGUCAUUUGCUCAACACUACUAGAGCAUUGUUGUUUCAUGGAAAUGUCCAUAAGUCUUAUUGGGGGGAAGCGGUCCUUAUAUCUACAUACAUGAUUAACAAAUUGCCAUCAAGAGUAUUAGAUUUCAAAACUCCAAUGACAGUUUUUUUCUAGCUUUUAUCCCCAUUUUAGGACAACAAUAAUCUCACACCUAGAGUCUUCGGUUGCACCUCAUUUAUACAUGUUCAUAAUCAAUAAAGGAGAAAAUUAGAUCCUAAAGCAAUCAAGUGUCUUUCUUUGUUACUCCUCUACACAAAAGGGGUAUAAAUGUUAUCAUCCUCUUUCUCGAAGGACCUAUAUAUCAGUCGAUGUUACAUUUGUAGAAAAAAAACCUUACUUUUCACAGUCUUAUCUUCAAGGGGAGAAGUCAUUAGUUGAAGAUAAAGACUUUGAUGGCCUUAACCUUGACUUAGCUCCUAAUAAUCUUCCAAUCCAAACUCCCACUUCUAAUCAACCAUUCCCUGAUCAAUCAACUCCUGACCAAUCAGCCUCCAACUUUGAUCAAUAGGCUUCUCAUAAAUCAGUUCAUGCUACUUCAAUUCCGGACUCUCUCUACGAUUGAGCCUAUUCUGGAACAAGAGUCCACUCCAUAUCUCCCUGUAUUUAUGACUGAGAUUUUCUCAGGUGUGCUCAAGAAAGACAGCUAUUCUAGACCAAACAUAAGUUCAAGAUUCCCAUCCAAGAUUUUGCAAAUGAAUUUCCAGUAAGUUCCGACUCUCCUUUGCAUAAACAAUCAAUUGAUACGCCAGAAAAUGACUCGCAUCUUCUCAUUGCUGUUAGAAAAGGUACUAGAGAGUGCACAAAGCCACCCUUAUAUCCACUAUCUCAUUAUGUGUCACUUGACCGCCCAUCACCAUCUCAAUAAAAUUUCAUUGUGAGUCUAAACACCAUUUUUAUUCCAAAUGCUUUAUCUGAGGCAUUGUCUAAAGAAGAAUGGAGGAAUACAAUGAGAGAAGAAAUUGAUGCACUAGAAAAAAAACCAGACUUGGGAGAUCAUUGAAAAACCUAAGCGAAAAAAUCUUGUGGGCUGCAAAUGGGUUUUUACCUUGAAAAACAAAGCCAAUGGUUCUCUUGAAAUAUAUAAAGCACGAUUAUUGGCAAAGGGUUAUACUCAGACUUAAGGAGUAGAUUACCAGGAGACAUUCGCUCCAGUGGCAAAGAUGAACGCCGUGAGAAUUUCUCUCUUUGGCAGCUCACUUUAAUUGGCAACUUCAACAGUAUGAUGUGAAGAAUGCAUUCUUACAUGAAGACCUAGAAGAGAAGAUCUACAUGAGUAUUUGUAGAAAAGAAUAUGUAUUUUCUCAUAUCAUCAUCAAGUGAUUACACGAUAUAUAUAUAUAUAUAUAUAUAUAUAUAUAUAUAUAUCUAUACACACAAGAAUAAAAGAUCUAAAUUAAGUGAGAAAAUCAAGAAUAGAGGACCUAAUCUCUGUUAGUAGCUAAUUUACAGCUAAUGGAAUCAGAUCACAUAAUCAAAUCAAAUCAAAUAAUAUCACAUAAUAUCCUAAAUGAUUUAGGAGAGAUUAUAGGAGAUUUUCUAACACUUCCUCUCAAGUUGAUGAGUGAAUAUCUUCCAUGCCUAACUUGCUGAUAAUCUCCUGAAAUCUCAAUACUAGUAGACCUUUGGUCAGUACAUCUACUAGUUGAUCUUUGUUAGGAGUGUAGGGAGUACUGAUCAAACCAGAUUCAAGCUUCUCUUUUAUAAAAUGUCUGUCUAUCUCAAUAUGCUUGGUUCGAUCAUGCUAAACUGGAUUGUGAGCAAUGUUGAUUGCUGAUUUAUUAUCACAAUAAAGUCUCAUAGUUCCUUCGUGUUCCACUUUGAGGUAUUCAAUGACAAUCCUAAGCCACAAAAGUUCGCAUAUCCCAUUUGCCAUUGCCCUGAAUUCAGCUUCAACACUCGAUUUAGCAACCACAUUUUGUUUUUUACUCCUCCAAGUGACAAGAUUUCCCCUUAAAAAAGUGCAAUAGCCAGAUGUGGACUUUCUAUCUAUUGGUGACCCAGCAUAAUCUACAUGAGUAUGGAUUUUAAGAUUCAACUUGUCACCAUUUUUAAACAAAAUACCUUUUUCAGGAGUAGCUUUGAGAUAGUGAAGAAUCCGGUAGACAGCUUGCAUAUGUUCUUCUUUAGAAUCAUGCAUGAACUGACUUGCAACUCCGACAACAUAGGCUAUGUCUGGCCUAGUAUGAGAUAGAUAAAUAAGUCUUCCUACUAACCUUUGAUAUAUCCCUCUAUCAACAAUGCCACUCUCAUCGUGUCCAUCCAUUUUAUGGUUUGCAUCAAUAGGAGUGCUCACCGCCUUGCUAUUGAGACAUCCUAUUUCCUUGAGAAGAUCAAGUACAUACUUCAUUUGGGAUAUAAAAAUACUUAUUAGAGUAGGCCACCUCAAUAUCAAGUAUCUCAACUUUCCAAGGUCCUUGAUCUCAAACUGUUGAGCAAGAUUGCUCUUAAGAGAAUUUUGUUCAGCUUCAUCAUUACUAGUCAUAACUAUAUCAUCUACAUAUACAAGUAGAGCUAUGAUAAUACCUUCAUUUGAAUGUUUGAUGAAGAGUGUAGUCCCCUCCACUAUGCUCGUAACCUAUCUCAAGCAUUACCUUCAUGAACCUUCCAAACCAAGUUCUUGAGGAUUGUUUGAGACUAUAUAUAGCAUUUUUAAGUCGACACACCUGAUUGUUUCCAAAAUCCUUAUCAGAAUCUGGCGGAGGCUCCAUAAAAACUUCCUCAUCCAAAUCUCCAUGUAAAAAUGCGUUCUUCACAUCAAAUUGCUACAAAAACCAACCAAAAUUAGUUGUAAGAGAAAGUAGUAUCCGUAUUGUGUUAAUCUUUGUUACUGGUGCGAAGGUCUCCUGAUAAUCCACUCCAUAGGUUUGUUUGUUUGUUUUUUUUUUUUUUUUGUCGGUCCUACUCUAACACUCACUCUUAAACUUUUGCUCUGCCUCUUUGCAAGGCGUGGGAGUCGAAAUGCAUUCUUAAAAUGAAAUCGUCCACACCCCAAUCCUCUCCUGAUUAUUCACCAAUUUGGAAGGGUGGCCAUUGGGGCGAACCCCCAGUGGUUAUUCACCCCAUAGGUUUGGGUAUAUCCCUUCGCAACCAACCUUGCUUUAUACCUCCAAGGUGCCAUCAGCUUUACCCCCUUUGCAACUAACCUUGCUUUAUACCUCCAAGGUGCCAUCAGCUUUGUACUUAAGGGUAUAAACCCAUUUACAUCCCACUGGUUGCUUGCCUUUGUGUAAAGUCACAACUUUCCAUGUAUCAUUCUUCUUCAAUGCAUUCAUUUCCUCUGUCAUAGCUUGUAUCCAAUUCCUAUCCUCAAAAAAGUUUUAUGUACCGAGUUAGGAAUAGUAAUUGAAUCAAGAGCAGUAAUAAAUGCUUUGUGUAGUAGAUAGUCUAUGGUAUGACACAAAUUGGGAGAUAGGGUAUUCGGUACAUUUCCUAGUAGCUUUUCUCAAGACAAUAGAUAAAUCCAAAUCACUUGACUCAGGUUCAUUAGAAGAAGGGUAAGGGUGAGUGAUUUCAUUACCUGAUAAUGGUUCACAUAACGAGACUUGAUUCAAUUCCGGAUUGAGUGUCGUCCUUCUUGAGUAAACUUGCAAUUUGGUUGGUUCAUUCUUAAGAGGACUAGAUGAAGAUAAUGAUGAACUAGGCGGAGGACUUGAAAUGGAACUAGGACCGGUCAAAGGACUCAAUGGACUUGAUUAAGUACUAGGUGGACUAAGAGGGCUAGGACUAGAUAGAAAUGGUGAAGGAGAUGAAGUUGGAUUGGACAAAGUAGUAUUGAGCGACACACUAGAUAGUGAAGGCAGUGGUUCAAAUCCACUAUCUUCAUUAGGAGUCUCCUCCUAAAGAUAGUGGUGAGAAGUAAAAAAUAAUUAGUUUUCACUAGAAGUGAGGUUUACCAACUUCUUCUCUGUUAAAUAUCUCCUCAUUGACAGAUUUGUAUUGGACCAUCGGAGCAGCUUCACCUUCAUUGGUCAUGUGUGCUUGCAACUGUUUUUUAGUUCUAUUGAGCACCUGCGUUCUUCCAUGAAGCUUGAAGCAAUUUUCCCUUGCAUAACGUGGUUUCUUGCAGAAACUGCACCAUAAACCUUCACUGCCUGUUGUCAUAAUCGGAUCCGAUCUCUUGUUUUUGUAAGGAUUUGUUUCCUCCUUAAUUGCUUUCAUGGCAGAUCCGUCAGUGUGUUCGUCUUCAAGCGUUACAAUUCUUUUGCUUUCUUCUCCUCUUAAAGUAUAAAAAACUUCAUUCAAGGAUGGCAGCCGCUUCUUUUCGAGAAUCUGAACUCAAAUCUAGUCAAAGUUUGCAUUCAGACCUGCCAAAAACUCAAAGAUCCUCUCUCUCUCCAUAUGGUUUUGGAGAGUAUUAGUAUCUUCAGGACACCUCAUUUGGAUAUUCAAUUGUGAUUUAUUUCAAGCCAAAGACCUCUCAUCAGAUUGUAAUAUUCUGUAACGGAACGAUUACCUUGUUUCGUUAUUGAAGCUAUUGUCUUGAGUUCAUAUAUUAUCUCUAGGACUUUCAAAUAAGACUGACGAAUAGCCUCCCAUAUCUCCUUGGCAGUAGGGAGAAACAUGUAGUUUUUGCUGAUUUCAAGUUGCAUUGAGCUCCACAACCAUGACAUAAUUGAGGAAUCUUCUUCAUCCCAUGUUUGAAACUUGGGAUCACCUUGUCCUGUACCAGUGUCUUCUAGAUAACUGAGCUUUCAUUUUCCUUUAAGAAAUGUCUUCACAAUCUGUGCCCAUUGAAGAUAAUUUUUUCCAUCCAAUCAAUACUCCAUGUUGGGAAAAUCUCCAAUCAAUUAGUUGGAUUGAUUCCGAACAGAAGACCCAGUUUGGCUGGAGAUAGCCUUCCCUGAAUCUUCCAUUCCAGCAACUUUAAGGAUAGAUUAUAGGAGGAGACUAAGAAGGGAUCGAGAGACAAGGGUGGUUAUCACACAAUUGAAGGCCAGCAAUAAGGCUGGUUAAGUUAGCAAUGAGGCUGAAACAGAACAACAUCGAUAAGGCUGAAAAAAAAAAAAAAAGGCUGCGAUGAAGCAACGGUAGAGAAAAAGAAACAGAGGCAGGAAAUACGGAUAAAAAAAAAAAAACUAGGCUCUGCUAUAAUGUAAAAUAGAAUAUGUAUUUUCUCAUAUCAUCAUAAAGUGAGUACACUGUAUAUAUACAGGAAUAGAAGAUAUAAAUUAGGUGAGAAAAUUAAGAAUAAAGGACCUAAUCUCUUUCAGUAGCUAAUUUACAGCUAACGAAAUCAAAUCACAUAAUCAAAUCAAAUAAUAUCACAUAAUAUCCUAAAUGAUUUGGGAGAGGUUAUAGGAGAUUUUCCAAUAGUAUUCCACCGGGAUUUGAAGGAGAAAAGACAACAAACAAAGCAUGUAGAUUACGGAAAGCACUAUAUGGGCUCAAUAAAUCACCUAGAGCUUAGUUUAGGAGAUUUUCCAGAGUUAUGAAAGCUUUAGGCUACAAACAAAGCCAAUGUGAUCAUACUCUCUUCAUUAAGCAUUCGGCAAGAGGGAGAGUGAUAGCUCUUCUAGUGUACGUCGAUGAUAUUAUUGUCACAAGUGACGAUGAUGAGGAGAAACAGCAGCUAAGGCAGUGUUUGAUUAAAAAGUUUGAAAUAAAAGAGCUAGGAAGACUCAAAUACUUUCUUGGCAUUGAAGUUUCUUACUCUAGACAAGGAAUUUUUGUCUCACAACAAAAGUAUGUGACAAUCUCCUGAAGGAAACUAGAAAACUUGGUUGUAAAUCAGUAGCUACACCUAUUGAGCCUAAUAAAAGGCUUGGGGAUGCAAAGGAAGAACCUACUAUAGAUCGAGAAAUGUAUCAAAAAUUGGUCGGGAAACUCAUCUAUUUGGCUCAUACUAGGCCUGAUAUUGCCUAUUCAGUAAGUGUAAUUAGUCAAUUUAUGCAUGACCCAAGAGAAUCACACUUGCAAGUCGUCAAUCAAGCACUACAUUAUUUGAAAGGAAGUCCCGGAAAAUGAGUCCUAUUCAGAAGAAAUCAAAAAUUGGUGCUGCAAGCUUAUACUGAUACUGACUAUGCAGGAUCCAUGGUGGAUAGAAGGUCAACAUUUGGUUAUUGCACAUUCUUGGUGGAAAUUUAGUGACUUGGUGAAACAAAAAACAGAAUGUAGUUACAAAAUCAACUGCUGAAUCGGAAUUUGUAUUUAUCUAACAGUUACGUGGGUCUCGAAGAGUGAUGUGGACUGCACCCAUCGCCAUUUCUUUCGCCGCUUAUAUACGCACAGGAAGAGACAGAGAGGGAGAGAGAUACUUUGGGUGGUGACUGGUGAGUGGGGAAAAGGGAGUUUGCUCUAGGAGCAAGGAAAGAAUGGAGAGAAAUGUGUUGCACGGGGAGGACUGUUGGUUUUCGUUUGAGCGCUUUGUGCUUAUGCCGAGUCGAGUGAAGAAAUGCGGCUCUUUUUGCUUUGUUGCGCGCGAAAGUGCUACUGCGAACGAGGAAGGAAACGCUCCCCCGAUUUCAGUUUUCGGUUUAUUUCGGUUUUAUUCUCUCUUCUUGUCCUUGGGCUCCCUCGUGUGUCGGGUUUGGGCCUGGGCAUUGGCUUUAGAACCUCGAGGCCCAUUUUUCCUCGGCGGCAAGAAGGGGAUAUGAAAAUGACCUCCGCAGGACACAUUCAAUUUCGAAAAACGACGCAAAUGGCUCUUGAUAAGUCAAACCAGCCUGAUCACUCUACCUUUGCAUGUUGCACUAUUAUCGCAUUUGAUUGCUCAAGUAGCUUGAAGAUGAAACGUAGUUUGAAACCUCGCAUGUCUUCUAAAGAAGCCAACAGUUGUGUGAAUCGUUUAGUAUUGGAAAUUCCAUUACUGAGCAUACACUGCAUUUUCCAACGCUAUAGGCUUGUUCAUUCAAUUCUCAAUUAAUGCUGCGAUCACCAUAAUCUCACCAAUCACAUUGUCUACUCGAAUUUUGCAUUGUUUGCUUUUGCCUCCUGGUCCAAGUUUACAUGUUGGGCACUACAAGUACAUAACAACAAUCGAAGGUGAACCUACAAGUUCUUUGUGGCAACCCUGCUGUUCUUUCUCCAAUCUCCAAACAACAUGCUAAGCCAAAUAUCCAAGGACAGACCAUCCCCAUUCGUCUGUUGUGCAGUGCCUCGACUAUCGAGGCAAUGUAUUCCCCUCUGGGGAAUACUGAUCGAUUCCUCUUCAAUUGGAACACCAGCAAUUACCAAGCUGAUGGCAUGUUCUUCCAAUGCAAGAGGCCUUCCAUCUCCAACUGUGUUUGAGUAGCUAUAGCGCCCUCACCAAUCUAGCAGGCCUUGCCGCGCUUGUGAGGCAAGCAUUCAUCCCUCACGUCCCACAUCAUACAGUUCAUAGACAAGUUUGAGAGAAUUCGUUUAAAAAAAGUUGCUCUGUAGAAACAGGUUCUCUUUUGACCAGUCCAGACCCCAAACUCCAGAUUGACGGCCCGCCAAUUUAGCCCAACAUCUUCUAGAAUAUGUUUCCCCCGGAGUUUGAAUUUGAAUGGCAGGGUGGAGGACUUGACUCACAAGAAAACUUAAUUCUUCAAGGAAAAAGGGGGCAUAAUCUCAUUCUGGGCAAAAGGAAGAUUCUUUCGUCCAGCUAUUAGUAUAUACAUGUGUUUCUUGUACUCAUUAAAGAAGGGGCGUCGUUUUCGGAUUCUUAGACUCGGAGAACCGUCCUGGAUAUGUUUGGUCUUGACGCUCCGCAUCAAAGCCAGAAUCAUGGCAGAACCCAAUUCUUGGUCACCUGGCAUUUCCUUCUCGGAAUUUGUCAAAGCAGCGCAAAAGCAAAUACCAUGCCCACGUGGAACUUCCUUCCAGUUCCUGUGGCAUGCGGUCAACUAAUCUCCUACGUCCUGUCAGCAAUGCGGAAGAGGAAAACAUCAAGAAGAGGCCUAAAAUAUCAAUAUUCGCACGCACACUGGAAAACAUCUUCGAAAGGUUAGUAAUGCAACGCUCUUCCCUAGUAAGAAAACGAUGCGCGAAUUGACAAUGUCAUACUAUGGCUGUAUAAACCGACUUGCAGGACUUGAAACAAGCCUGUGGUAAGCAUGAAUGCCCCUACCGCAAUGGCUCACUGUAUUUGCACGAAGAGAGCAUCAAACAGGAAUAUUAUGAAGUCAAAAUAAAGGGGAAGCCCUCUCCUGGACUAAGGAAAACGCUACAAAAAAAGUGCCUAGUCAAUGGAAUUUGACGUAUUUUCACAGGUUCAACUCCCGAGGCAUUUUUAAGAAAGGAAGAAUGCAAAAAAGUACUUCGGAGAAGACCAGCAUGAGGUGAUUUUAAAGAGAGAUUGAGAGCGUAGCAACAAUAAAAUUUUCAUACUGUCGAGCUUCAUAUAUGAGUACAUUAAGGACCUCAAAGGAAUUAUUGACGAGGUGGAACACCUAUUGACUGGAAGGAGGGAGAAAGGUCCAGGUGGAGCACUGCAUAUGCCUCGUUUGAAACCAUCUUAAGACACUUGCAAAAAGAAUAGUUACUCAGAAAACUCGAUGGACUAGCAAGCAACCUGGUUUCUACAGCUAGUUGCAGCAGCCCAUUGAUUGGAAAGACAUGUAGCUGUUGCACCAUAACUUAUAAAUGUUACUGUUGCAUAAUUCCCUUGAGUAUUUGAUGUCAUUGGACAUAGCAAUUCUCUCAUCACCCAUAAGAGAGGCUGAUGGCACUGAUGAACCUGGAAACAACCCAUAAAAUCUAGUCAACUCAGCCCAGACAGUGGCAUCAAAGGGGGCAGUCAGUCUCCAGAAAAAUUAAGAAAAGGGAAACUUAAUCACAGUCCAUCAGCCAGAUUCUUAAACUAGCGGAACGUGAAAUAAAACUAGGGAAAGAAUGAAGAUAAUGCAACUGUUAGUUCUGCAACUCAAUACUAUGCAUUUGCCUGGUAAGACUUAACCAAUUCUUGGUAUAACAUAGCACCUCAUUCCGAGCAUGGGAGAAUAAAAAUAAAUUUUUUGAAGUAAUCAAUCUGAGCUGCUUUUUGUAUCCAGAAACCUCAAAGUAAACCAUCAAAUUCUAACCCCAACCCAACAACCCCCUCAGCCCCCACCACCCCCCCUCCCCAAAAACCCCCCAACACACACACACAAACAAGAGAGAGAACUUACACAGGUUGCAUAAAAGCUUCGGUCCCUUGAUUUUAUUUUAAGUUAUUGAGAGAAAACAAGCCAAUAUUAUCUUAAUUUACCUCAAAAGCACAAUUGAAUUUAUCAGGAAUAAUCCCGAUGCUUCCAUCAACCACUAUAUGUUUUUCUCUGGGGGAGAAAAAAUUACAUAGGCACCAGUCUAUCAUAAAUAUUAAAAAAAAAAAAAAUCAUAUCCUAUAGAUGCAGUAUAGAGUUUACUUUGGUAGCAAAUAAUGGAAAAGCUAGACUUUAAGACAGGAAACAAAAGUGCAUUUUCCAGAUGCUGGCGUAGAUUGUACAAGACUUACAACAAUUUAUGCGUUGUAUCAUCUAUUUUCAGGCAUCUCUUAGGAGCUAGGCAGGUUAACAUAAGGGCAUCAAAUGUUGUACCUAUGAGAAAGAAAACACUCAGAGAGCACUUAAGGGGAAGAAAACUAUAGAAUAGCUGCAAUAUAAUGGUGCGCUGAAAUUAGGAAUCCCAGGUGAGAGAAACAAUAAGAAACCUUUAUGUAUAAGCUCAAUACAUACUGGAGUUUCUGUUGAUAAAGCUACUGAAGCACUCGAUGUAAAAGACAUCAUGCAGAUGGCUGCUAAACCAGCCACCUGCAUCCAUUGAUGAUAUUUAAGAAAAAAGUUAAAGGCAAGGCAGAGGAUAGUCUGUGCACAUGUGAUGAAAGUAGCAACUAUAAUAGUAACUCAAUUAAAAAUCCAAGAGAGAACAGAAGUGCAGAGCAUAUGCUCACCAUGAAAUGGGUACCCUAUUCAACAGAGAGCACUUAAGAGGAAGAAAAAUAUGAUCGACUAGUGACUUACCUUCCACAUAUCAGCUGAAGCACUCUCGGACCGUACUUAACUCAAUUUUAAGAACAAAGUGAUACCAAAAUAUAAAUAGAGCAUUGACACAAAAAGGUAUAGAUCCCACAUUACUGAAACAGUUAAUCUUGGACUUAAGCAGGCUAUACCCAAAAUAUGCAGACAAAAUGGGUGCACUCAACACAUGUGGAAUGCUCCAAAAAUAUCCAAGAUACAACUCAAACCACUAUCUCAUAGGGUGAAAACGAGGUUUAGUUUAUGAGUAUUUUAAGAACUAUUCUUAUCUAACUAAUCAGCACUUGAUAGAUUAUCUAAGUCCGAGUAAAUUAAUGGCAAAGCAUAUGCUGGUGAAAUUAGUCGAAGUAACCCAAAAAAAGAGUAGAGGUUAAAAUAUUUAGGCUAUCAUAAUCAUAAAAAUAUGUCCUGAAAACAUAUGGCUCCCUUGAUUACAACAUAUGUGUUUGACAUGCGGAAAGGUUAGAUUAGUUUUAUUCUUUUUGUCCUCAAUUUCUAUAAAGCAAUAUUUACGAGAUGAAUAGGUAGUGCAAUGUUUACCUGUAGUAGAAGCUGUAAUAUCCUGUAUCUUCUUCUAAUAGCAAACGUCUGCUGUAAAUUUUCUAGCUGAGAGCAUUAAAACAACAUAAAUGAGAGAAAUUUACUGGUAGAUGAUUAAGCAUGGUUUCUUGUUAUUCUAACUACUUGAUGACCAAUCAUUACCCCAAUCCUGAAGCAAUAGAUUAAGAGCAACAUUCUAAUAUUGACCUGACACCAAGGCUUCUUUAAUUGCCUAUAGCAGCCUAUUACUUACCAUCAACCAUGAGCAAAUGCCCUAUUUUAUUUUAUACAAAAUGAUCUAGUAAUGGUUCAUAUCAGAGGAGAAGCGGAUGAUAGAUACUGUGAAAAGUGCAUGGAAGUCAUACAUGUGCGACUAGGCCAUUGUACUUGAUACGGUCAAAUUGCUUUUGUCCAGUAGCUUUUAGAUAGUUCCGCGAGUACCAUCAGUCCAUAGUCCCAUUCUCUAAAUAAGACUGAAGUCAGGAAGUAGUGUUAGGGUAAUAGGAGACAGGUUGUUUUACACGUUUUAAAAGGUUUCACAAAUCAGUCUCAUCAAUUAGCAAGAACAUGGAGGCAUGAUUUUAAUUUUUCACCAUCGUCAUCUCUUACUGUACCUUCAAAAAUUAUAAGUGAUCAAAACACAAAGACCGUAUAAAAGCUAUUAUCAUGAUCUCUCUCUCUCUCUCUCUCUCUCUCUCUCUCUCUCUCUCUCUCUCUCUCUCUCACAUACACUAUAUAAUUACAUGAGACAUGGGUUUGUAUUCUCAGGUGAGUUUAAGAGAUUACACAAGUUUGGUGAUUAAAACUCAAACCUUAAACGAGAAAGACAAGCAUGCCUAUUCCACGAAAAACUUUCGCAAUAGCAGAUUGAUCACAAGCAAGCUUAGGCUGCUGUUAGACUCAGCCAACCUAAAAGAUCAGACCGAAGUGCUUUCUCAAGACAACAUUCAAUUUCAUGCCAAAACAUGAGGUUCAAUUUAAGUACAUCGGAUUCUUUCAACAAUUAGAUCAUCCACAGUGCUUUAAAUAUGAGGGGGCUAUUCCAACAAGACAUACACUUUACACGCAUACAUCAAGCUUAAGUACACCGGAUUCUUUGAACAAUUAGAUCAUCCACAGUGCUUUAAAUAUGAGGAGGCUAUUCCAACAAGACAUGCACUUUACACACAUACAUCAAGCUUACUAGAAACUUUUCCACACAUUUCACAUUCGUUGAUAAUCUAAAAUUAAUUGAUGUUCUUCAGUUACUCUUCUGAACAAAACAGAAGACAUGCUAUCUUCUAGCUCAGGAGGGAAAUGAGUCCCACAGAAAGGAACUGAGAAGGUAAAUUCUCAUAAAUGAUCAUCUGCGAGGAGUGCAGAGAAACUUAUGUCUUUCCACAUACUAACAAGAGAAACACAAUCUGACCCGUGCUAGCAGAAGAAUUAUGUCCUUCCAAAGGAAAGUGAAAGAGGGAAGUCAAGUGACAAGCAAACAUGAGAAUUAGUGUAGUCAGUUCCUUGUUGCUGUAGUCACACUUAUAUUGCAAGUACCCAUAAUCCUUUAGAUUUACCAUAUCUAUGGGAAUGAAUACUUUCUCAAAAAGUGUAGGAUCAAUUUGUGGCUCAUCACCAAACGGAGACUACCUACUCAGGCCCUCCUCAUGUCCUACGGUAGGAUCGAAGCUGCCUACUGCCCCUUUUGUAACAAUGUGCCUGACUCGGUUAAUCACCUCUUUUUUGGCUAUCGGGUUACUUCGGGAGUUGCCUCCUUUUGGGCGGCUAGGUGUGGUAUUCCUUGGAGGAACAAUCCAUGGGAGGAAACAAUUAUCUGGGUCUCGGCCUUGCUAUCCGGCAAGGACUUCCAUAAUUGCAUCGCCCGCUUUUCUUUUGGUGCUUUAUGCCACAUUGUGUGGAAGAACAGAAAUGACAUCCUCUUCAGGGGUGCGCAGAUUUCUACUUCUUCUAUGAAGAUGCAUCUUAUGAAGGUGGUCAAAGAUAAAGCAUGCACCUUCAAAAAUGUGGAGGAUUCCCCAAGAAACAGAAGAUUACAACGCUCCUGGGAAUUGGACCCUGCUAUCUUCACAGUUUGAUGUGUAGCCGGUUCAUGGUCUUAGUGUGUGUUGUUUUUCUUUUGUUGUCUUUUGGCUGCUUGGCCUUUGUCCGGCUUCCUUUCACUCUUUUGAGACUGUUCUUUUGAGUGAGAGUCUUUGAAGCUGGUUCUUUGUUUUUUUUGCCCCCCCUUUGUUAUAUUUAUAUUACUUCUUACUUACCAAAAAAAAAAAAAAAAUACUUUCUCAAAAAGUGUAGAUAAAUCCGAUUUCAUUCUUAAAGUCUCAAGAGUGAAACUAUUGCCAAAGGAAUUAAAUCACUGAGAUUUGCAAGAACUAUCUCAACUUCAAUCACCUGUCAGAAAGUUAAAAACAGAUGUAAUUCGAUCACUCCAAAUCCCAUGCAUCUGCACUGUGAUAAUCCAUCACGCACUUCACUUUCCAGGAACAAAGUUGGUGGCGCAAGCCCAGGCAUUGUUGUAGGCAGGGUCACCAAGGUUACCAGCCAGGUUCUCCAAUGGGCCUUUCCCUAUCACAAUGGCCUGGAUGAAGAACCCAGACAUGGAGAACAUGGCCGACCUCCCAUUUGUUUAUCUCCUUCACCUUCAGCCCUGCAAAAGCCUCAUCCCGUGAGGCCCAAUGGAUCGAAGUUGCAGGUAGAUCAGUCGGUCAGCUCUUCGAGUGGGCCCCCCCUGCAAACCUGUAUCCUUCCACUGCACCUAUUAGGAUUACCUAUGUGGCCCAGAUGGCCAAGAUGUUGUGCGUCGAUCAGGCUCGUGUUCCCCAAAUAGUCCAACCUGCCCUCACUGAAUAUCUGUACACCAGCCUUAAACCAAACUGCCUUGCCAAACUUGACCCAUUACAGGACAAGCGCUAGGGGAAGAUGCACCCAAGGACGCUGAGCAUGGCCCACCUCACAUGGAUGACCUCGAGCUUGCGGUUCUUGCCAGAGGUCUCCGGAUCAGCUCGAGCACACCUCUGAGCCGUGCGAACUGCAAACAUGCGAAUCUUAGGAGGAGAUGUCGUCUAAUGAGGAUUGAAAAAUGUAAAUCCCAUUCCAGCAAAUCAAUCUUCUUUUCUUGCUGCUCAACAAAUGAAAAUACCAACAGAAGCAACAGACGGAUGAAAAGAAUAUAAUACUAAAUGGAGUACCUCAACACUUGAGAGUCAGAAUUAGAGAGAAAUGAGCAACAUAUCUUUCGAGCACUAUGUCCAACUGCAGUAAUUAAGAAGUCAAUCACUUACAUUACAGUGUUUGAGUAUCCCUCAGAUUAAACUUAAUCAUUGAUCCAUCCCUUUGGCAGUGAACAUCAAAAAAUAUUGAGCAUCAGUGAUUUCUCUUCCUUGCCUAUCUUAUGAGCAUGGUGGCUCAUUAAAACACCACACUUGAGUGCCUCCCUUCCUUCUUCAAGGGCUCUUUUUCUUAUAGUCGUUGGCAAACUAGCACCCCAGAGAAUGGCAUCGCUGGUCUCUUUCUCACCUUCAGUUUCUUUUCAGCAUUGGAUCCAUCAUCCGCCACAUUGUCGCCACUUCGGUCUGCAUUCUCUACCAGUUUCAGUAGCAUCUAUGUACUCAAAAUCUCCUGGACUGCCACUUCCCCACCACUUAUUUGAGGUGACAGACAAGCCAUUUGAUGGAAAUCCAUACUUGAAUUCAUCCAAGACCACCAGACUUUUUAUCAAGCUUCCACUAAUUACACUUUGGAUCUGCCCGCUUUGACCUUGCUUACUCUCCAGCUGCUGCGAGCUACGAGGCAGUACCAUUCCCUGCACUUUCGAUGUAUUGCUGCUACUUUGGUGAUCAGACUUGCUGCAUCAAUAAUAAAUUAAUAUAAAUACAUUUUUAAAUGAAUAUCCACAAAAAUUGCAUCUCCAGAAUAUGCGUUGUGAUUCAGAACGAUAAUCAAUCUAAGGUGGGUAUAUUGUACAUGGGUAAUCUGGCCUGCUUCAGAAUAAAAUAUGGAUGAAGUUGCCAAACCAAUACCUACCUUUGUUUCCUUAUCUUUGACAUUAAAGCAAGGUCUCAGAUUCUAUAUCUAGCAGCUAGAUUCCCAACUUGUUUUACAUCCUUUGACAAAGAAUCUGCAACACAAGCCAGAAUUGCAUCAUCAGCGUGCGCAGAGAGGCAAAACCUGCCUGGUACGGCCAUGAUCACCAUAUAUAUAUAUAUAUAUAGAGAGAGAGAGAGAGAGAGAGAGAGAGAGAGAGAUGGCAGGACGGGAUACGACAAUACAACAGACUGAAAGGGCCAUGAUGUAUAAACAGUGUGCAACAGUACAGUCUGUAAGGCGAGUAACAUUGUGCAACAGCACCAUUCAGUUGCAUAAACACCCCAAAAGUCCUCUGCUCUACUUCCAUCUAUAAAUGACAUAACAUAAAACCAGUUGAACUGAACACUUUAAAAGGAGCGUUUGAUGUUGACAAUUAGAGAAAAAUACCAAUUUAUUUGUCAAGUCGAAAAUCUUUCCAACUCUAGAUGGGACUAGAACUUUUCAUAGGACCAGGGAAAUCAAAAUACCAUUUCCUCAGCUCUUUGACCUGAGCUAUGGGAAAUUAGUUGCAUUCUUAGGACAAGUGUGAAAUAUUCCCGGAUGCGUUUAUUUGAUGCAUCCAGCUCCAGCACAUACUCAAAUUCAUCGUUUUAGAAUUCAUUAUCGACAAAUUUUUGGCUUUUUAUGCUCAAGUCAUUGGAACAUCUUUGCAUUUUCACAUACACAUUGUUAGAAUAUUUAAAUAUUAGUUUUCAUCUAAUAUUAUAAACUUUUGCGUUAGACUUUCUAUAUGGUAUCAAAGCGAGUUCAAAUCUUUCCAAACCCUACGUAUGAGGGAGGAGUGUUAAAAUAUUUAGAUAUUAAACUACACACUUAUCUAACUGCUAAAGCUUUUGGAUUGGACAAAGAAAAAAUUCCAUCAAAAAAUACUUUGCAUGUAUUUUCUUUCGGUCAAAAAUUACAAUCAAGAUAGAAUUGAAAAGUUUUCUCCUAAUACAGUGAGAUAUUGAAUAAUACCAUUUGCGACUAAACCAUAUUCCAAUCAUCAUCACCACUUCCAUAGUUUUGAAGUAGUGACCGUAGGCCAAUGCUCACACUUGGAGCAUCUUUCUUUACCACAACAAUUGGCACAGAGGAAGUAGCUGUCGUCAAUGAAUCUGUUGGCUUGUCUGAAAAUUUCUCAGAAAGUUUCCUCUUUCUGAGAGUAUUGCUCAUUGAUUCAUCAUUACUAAUUGAAGGUCGAGUCAAAUCUUCCUCCUCCUUAAAAUCUUCAUCUUUGAUCCUACGAACAAAAUCUUUGGAUGUAUGGAGUACAAUUGACUUGAGAAGAGCUUCAUCCUCUUCCUCCAGCUUAUUUUCCUUUGCUGCAGAUGUACCUUGUAGAACCUCCAAUAUUGCAUCUACGUCCACAGUUGCAUGUCUAGACUUCAUUGAUUUCAAUUCAUCAAGCCUAGCGAGAAUAUCUAUCUCUCUCUUGCUAUCAUUCUCCAUUACCUCAUCCUGCUUACGCCGGGGCUUGAAAUUUCUCAUCACUCCUAACUCCACAAUGCAAACCAAAUUCCGCAGAUCGGUUUUGAUCGUGAGCUCAGCAGAGCAGUUGGUGCAUUUGAAGUAAAAUCUGAAUAUCAGAAUCCCCAAAUACGUCUCGCUUAUGACGACCUCCUUCCUGGAAUUGAACUUGGUCCCCUCGUAGAUUUAUUUCCCGCAGGCGUUGCAUCCGAUGCUCAUCGAAAGCAUCAUCCAAACCUUAAUCUGCUGACUUUUGGGCCUCCCAAACCUAGGCAGCGCAGGUAAUAUUUGUUCAACACCUUUCAUUCUCCCAUUUCUUCUUCUCUCAACUCCAAACCAAGACAACGAACGCUGACGCCACAAAAUCUCUGCCUCUCUCUCUGAUCGACUAAUUUUUAAACAAAACGGUCGAAUUGAUUUCACCACCAGAAUGGUGUCGAACCCACAAGUUCUCGAUCUACUAACCUCGAUUAAGGUUCUAUGCUCGGAUCAAACCUUAAACCCCACGAAACUAUCCGAAACAAACUGAAGAGCAGGAGAAAAAGGAGCAAACGAAAACUAACAGAGUCUGCUAAGGCGCGGAGGAGAUGACGAGCGUCCGUGGAAAAAAAGGGAAAAAUCAGUCGAAGUUUCACUCACCUCGCGAUGCCGCCUCUUGCGCAGUACAUUCCCUCUCGCCGGAGAUCAAACGGCGGCGCAAGAAUGUUCCAAGCGUGGCCGCAGGUCGGCGGUGGCGUGGCGUCUCGGGUGAUCUGAGCGAGGGACGGGGGGGAUGACGACGGAGAUGGGGGGCAAAAAUACAGAGGGAGAGCAAAAGGGGGCCGGAGAAAUUUCAAUUUUGGGAUAUUUAUAGCACCCGUCUAAAUUUGGAAACAAAUAUUAGACGUUUGAGUAUUUAAUUGGUAAUUUUCAAUGAAUAACUUCCUCCUCUAAUAAGUAAAUAUGCAGUUAAUAAUGUGGCUCGAAAUUAAUAACAUACGUGCACGGUAAAAACUUUAAUUUUUACAAAACUACAAUGACUUUUUUAGCCGAUAAUAGGCAUCUUGAAAUUUCAUUCGUUUUUUCAAUUCACUAUACCAAAUAAAUUACUCGUAAAUAAACUUAAAUAAUAAUGUAUAAUGACUUUUUGAACUGUUUUAGAAUUCAUUUCACAUACAUAUAACUUGUUACAUGAAUAUCGUUCUCGAGUUUCUAACUUAUUUAUAAAUAAAUCUAAUUAACAUGCUAAUGAGUUAUUUUGAGGGCAUGUUACAAUCUAUGAAUUAGUGCACAUGACAAUUCAAAUAACUUAAGAAAAUUGCUAGAGUGAAAAAUCUGAGCGUCCAGAAUUUAUUAACAAUUAUUCAAGAGAAAUAAGGCCAUGGGCUCUUAAAUUACGAAAAGAUUCACGGGAGAUCUAAUGCACCUAACGACAAUGCAUAAGACAGAUUAGAACAAAAAAAAUUAAAAGCAUAAUGUAUAAUACAUACCUUCUUGAUAUUGCAAAGUUCAAAAAUCAAAUUCAGCAGAACAAAAAAUCUUAUACAGCAUUUGACAGGGAAAGAGGAAGAUGUGUCAAGUUGACAGUAUAGACAAUGAACGACCUCCUUGUGCAAGUUCAUGCAGCACAAAGGAGGGGGAAAAUCACAUCUGAAGACAGUAGCGAGGGACGUGAGCUAUCUGAGAUCCCAUCCUAAUGAGGGGGCCUUAUGCUGUCUUCUCUUUCCUUCCGGCCAGAAUCAUCGAAAUCUGAAAGCCUCUGCUGAGUGCUUGGUUGAAGAGGAG
rnacentral:lncRNA from 1 species